rnacentral:lncRNA from 1 species
ACCAUUGGCUGUUUGUGAUCAUCCGAAAAAGAAUGGUGACCGUGGAAGAAGUUCGUAAGGCUCAACGUGCCCAAGGCCCUGCCACCGUGUUGGCCAUCGGCACAUCAACCCCGCCUAAUUGUGUUGAUCAGAGCACAUACCCUGACUACUAUUUCCGUAUCACAAAUAGUGAGCACAAGACCGAGUUGAAAGAGAAGUUCAAGCGCAUGUGUAAGUUUUUUACUUUGAUCUAAAAGCUAAAUUACCUUAUAUACAAACUUAAUGUGAUUUUGUGUUUCAUACAUGAUUCGGCUAUGAAAAUAAAAGAGGAGAAAGAUAGAUGUGCAUGGUUCAUAUCAUUUUCAUGCAAAUGCUUUAACGGAAAAAAAGUUAGCUACGUAUACAGUAUGACUUGAAAAUAGAUUAAAGUUCUUUUCUGGUUCCAAAAAUACUAGAUUGAAGUUUGUUAGGUUCAUUUCUUGUAAAGCACAUUUAUUCAAAUCAUAUAACUCCACAGACUUAAUUUGUCUCACGUUUUCUAUCAAUAGAUUAAGGAUUUGAUUACAAGUUUGAAAUUUAUACAAGUGAAUUAAUAAGUUUUUCUUUUUUUUUUACCAAAUAUUAGUAAGUUGUUAGAUGUUCUAGCUUAUAAUUUUUUUUUAUUUUUUUACAAUACUAUAUAUUUAUUAUUUUUAUGAUUUCAAAUAUUAUAUAGUUGAUUGAGUCUUAGUUUGAUUGACAUUGACAUUGUUACCAAUACAAAAAACGUAGAUUCGAGCGCAUUAAAAUACGUUUAUCCUCAUAUUUAAAUAUUGGAAAGGAUUAUGGAUAGUUUCAAGUAUUAUAUAAAUAUUAAUUUUUUGGACGAAUAAUAAAUGUUAAUUUGAAAUUAUUUUUCUUUUAUAUUUUAUAUUAUAGUAUUUUUGUGAAAUUUCUAUAAUUUUUAAAAAUAAUUUGAUCAUUUCAAUUAUAAAUUUUUAAAUGUUUUUUUCAUAAAUGUACUUUUAAAUAAUUUUUUUUUUCAAAUUAUAAAUCUGCAUUGCAUUCUUUCUGCCCAUGACCCACCUAAAAGUUUCUUACGAUUGAAGCUUUUAUGAGACAGAGAAUGACAAUAUGUAUUAUAUAAUAUUAUAAACUGAAUUAGCAAUGGAUUUUGAAGGGGGAGACCUAGACUGAUGUUUUCCCUAUCUAGUGAAGUUGGAUAAAAAAAUCAGUUAAAACACUCUUAUAUGCUAAGUUGGGAGAAUUAAAAGUAAGUUUAUUGUGUUUGAUUAUUUAGGUGAAAAAUCGAUGAUCAAGAAGCGAUACAUGUACCUUACAGAAGAGAUUUUGAAAGAGAAUCCCAAUGUAUGUGAAUACAUGGCUCCUUCACUGGACGCUAGGCAAGAUAUGGUGGUAGUUGAGGUGCCAAAGCUAGGCAAAGAAGCAGCCACCAAGGCCAUUAAGGAGUGGGGCCAGCCCAAGUCCAAGAUCACCCACCUUGUCUUUUGCACCACUAGCGGUGUGGACAUGCCUGGGGCUGACUACCAGCUCACCAAGCUUUUAGGCCUCCGCCCCUCCGUUAAGCGCCUCAUGAUGUACCAACAAGGUUGCUUCGCAGGGGGGACGGUGCUCCGAGUGGCUAAGGACUUAGCUGAGAACAACAAAGGUGCUCGUGUACUUGUUGUGUGCUCGGAGAUUACUGCUGUUACCUUUCGUGGACCUAGUGACACUCACCUAGACAGUCUUGUGGGCCAAGCAUUGUUUGGUGAUGGUGCCGCAGCUGUUAUAAUCGGGGCAGACCCCGUGCCCGAAAACGAGAAGCCCAUGUUUGAACUAGUCUCAGCAGCCCAAACGGUCUUGCCAGAUAGUGAUGGUGCGAUUGAUGGUCACCUUCGUGAAGUUGGUCUUACAUUUCACCUUCUUAAGGAUGUUCCGGGGCUUAUUUCGAAGAAUAUAGAAAAGAGCCUGGUAGAAGCAUUUCAACCAUUGGGCAUAUCCGAUUGGAACUCCCUUUUUUGGAUUGCUCAUCCUGGUGGUCCAGCAAUAUUAGAUCAAGUAGAAGCCAAAUUAGCACUGAAGCCAGAGAAGCUACGAGCCACAAGGCACGUUCUUUCAGAGUAUGGUAACAUGUCAAGUGCUUGUGUUCUAUUUAUUUUGGAUGAGAUGAGGAAGAAAUCAAGGGAAGAUGGGCUUCAGACCACAGGAGAAGGAUUGGAGUGGGGAGUGCUCUUUGGGUUUGGACCUGGCCUCACUGUUGAGACUGUUGUGCUCCAUAGUGUUGCUGCUUAAAGUUAAACAAACAUGCCUUUUAAGUAAUUGGUCGUGCUCCACUUGGCUUGCAGUUUUAUCUUCUUCUUUUUUCCUUUUUUAGAAUCCUAUGAAUUUGUGUGUUUAUCGUUAAAGACUAGAAGCCUUUGAUGGUGUGGGCGGGAAGCUUAACGCCUAUUCAAUUCAUGUAUCAACUUAUAUUAAAUUUAUGGCAAUAAUAAGUUACUUUGCAAACUAUUCUACCAAAAACAAACUUCUGUUAAUCUCUCUAUAUAUGGAUCCUUAUGCUAACAGUUGUAUUAUUUUCCCAUAAAAUGUUUUUUAAUUAUUUCUUUUACACGUGAAUUGUUAUUCCUACUGAGUCUACUCCUUUGUUUGCAUAAGCUACAAAAUAAGGAAGCCAACUAAAUGCUACAGUUGUCCUAAAUUUUGGGUGGGCUAUAUUUAUUGUUUUGAGGUAAAAACUCAAACUUGCUAUAAAAUAUAAAAAAUAGUAAGUAACAUAAUUAAAAAAUAGGAUAACAAAAGAAAAGUAUGUAUUCAUCAAUAGAAAUAUUUAUAAUACUUCUUUAAAGUUAGUAUUUAUGUAUAUAAGAAAUAUAAAUAUUCAUCACACUCUCUCUUGGGGAGAGUGUUUAUUAAUAGAUAAUAUGUGACGUGAGUCUCAAGGGGAUCAUAAGGUGAUCAUAAAUUAGUUUGUCAAUUCAAGGGGAGAGGGCCAAACAAAAAGAGGAAUACGAUUGAGCUAUCACCUUUUGUGCACUGUUAUUGGUGUAGUUGAAAAUAUCACAAGGCUUUCCAAUGUCCAAUUAAAUAUUCAAAUAGAGGGAAUACGAUUGAGAUAUAACCUUUUGUGCAAAGUUAUUGGUGUAGUUCAAAAGAUCAUAAGGGUUUCCAAUGUCCAAUUAAAUAUCCAACUAGAGAAGAAAGUAAAUAUGACUUUGUACCUUUUGUUGACUCAUACUCUAGUGGAAAAUAGAUUUGUGAUGGCAAACUUUGUGAACUGGAAAAAGAUAAUGGUGAUGAUUUUUUAAUUUGAAUCUAUUAAGUUAGAUGAGAUAGAAACAUCAUGUUCUCUUACUAAGAGUAUUGUAUUGAAUUGAAUAUCCAUAAUUCUUGUAAGGGGGAUAUAGGAAGUAAGGAAGAAAAAAUUGAAAAGAUAGAGAGAAAAAAGAUCUUAAGUGAUAAAAGUCUACUUGAUGGUCCACUUUUGGUGAGUAACAAUACAUAUGAGGUAAAAUUGGAGAGUUCUCAAGUGGGAAAAGAAAAUGAAAAACAACAAAAUAUUCAUGCAAAAGUGAGGAAUGGUUAUGUUUUAACUAACCAUAACUCAAAUUUAUCUAGUGGUUUUUCCUUGUUACAUGAUUUUAAGGAUCCAUUGACGGACUUCCAAUUACAUUACUCUAACAUCGAUUGACACUUUUACUUGUCGGAGAGAGGUAAGUUGAAUAUUAAUAAUUCUCCACAAGUGCUACAAGGUAAGAAAGGUAAGGAAACGUUAGAAAUUGAUUCAAGAAGACAUACAAUAAAUGUUUUUGAUAAGUGUGCUAUUGAUUUUGUUUUUCCUUAUAACAUGCUUUCUUGUUGGUCAAAUUUCAUUAAACCUUGGUCUGAAAGUUCAAUUAAUUUUAUGGGUUUAUCUAGAUUUGUAAAGGUUAGAAAUAGUAAUUAUGUUGCACUAGAUAGGUUUACUAAAACAUUUUAUAUAUUUUCUCUUGCAACAAAAUUUUCUAUCUUGACCUUUAACGAUGAAUUUUUACACAAUCUUAACAUUCUUGAUUUUUAUAAUUAUGUGAAAUUCUUGACUCAUCGUUGGAAAUUCUUAUGGAUGACCAUGUAUAUUCAAAGAAAGUUACAAGUUAUUUUUUAUUUGAACACUCAUGUGCCUAAUAUUUCUUUAUUCAGUGUUGAUGGUUUGUGUUUGAAGGAGAGAUACUUGAUCCACUCUAAUUUGGGAGAUCAAAAUUAUUUUGUAACACCGCUUACCCGUAUCCAAGGCUGGAACAGGGUACGAGGCAUUACCAGACUUAACCAUACACAUAGAUGAAAAUCGGGCCAUAAAAUUUCAUUUAAUUUAAAACUUUUCGAACACAUGCAUAGACUCAUAUUUAAAGACAUAUAACGUGGCAUAAAUGAGCACUUACACAUCCAUAAUCAUGCAAUAACAUGUCAUUAUUUGCUUACCAUCCUGUAUAUAAUAUACAGUCUUACCUUAACUAGAACUAGACAUGCUAAAUCUUAUUCUCAUUUUAUACCACCAUAAUGUAGUUACCAAUUUGUCCAUUAAACAUCCAUAUUCAAGGAAACAUUAUUCAUUUCCAUUUAAUUCAUGAUCCACUGGCCUGCAUUUAACUUACCUGAUGUAUUACCAAUCAUGCAUAACAAACAAAGCUAACUAUAUCAUCACAUCAAAAUAUAGGACAUGACAUGAUUAAUUAAACUUAUAAACCUUAAUGGAUAAUGACCACAUCUCAUGAUCACAUACGAUAACUCAAUGCAGACCGAUACGUAUGGUCAAAGUCAUAAUAAUAAUACAUAUCACAAACCAACUUCCUAUACAUGCCACUCACUUGAUAUUUCUAAUAUUUAAUUAAUUCUCCCAAAAAUGAUAGCUUGAUAGUGUGAUUUUGCCUCCGACGAUCUCCAACCCCGAGCCGACCUACAAAUACUAAAGAAAUGGAGAGGAUGGGUAAACUUUACUAUUAGUAAGUCCAUAUGAAGUUAAUAAGCAAUUACUAACAUGCUUUUCAAGAUAAAACACUAUAAUUGUACAAUUACACAUGUUUAGGUUAAGCUGUUUUAUCGAGUUAUAGUUACUAAAUCAUUCAUAUUUGGAGUUACAAAACUCCAACUUUAGAUUCAUUAUUUUUUCUUGAAACUAGACUCAUAUACCUUUCACCCAUAAAAUUUCCAGAAUUUUUGGUUUAGCCAAUUAGUACAAUUUAUUCAUUAAAGUUUUCCCCGUUUCUCUGUCUAACAGUUCUGACCUCUCUUCACUAAAAAUUAUUUAUCUCAUAUUUCGGGACUUGGAUGAUGUUUCCGUCCAUUCCUCCUGAAAUUAGACUCAUUUAUAAUUAUAUUCAUAUAAAUUAUAACUCAUAAUUAUUUUUGUACAAUUUUUAACAAUUUUUCCAAGUCAGAAUAGGGGAUCUCGAAUUCAUUCUAACACUGUCUCACAAAAAUUAGAAUAUCACAUAAUAUAGAACUCUUUUACUUCCCUUGUUUCUUUUAUAUGAAAAUAGACUCAUUAAUAUUUAAUUAAAUAAUUUUUUUGAAAUUUAAUUCAACUUAAAAAUUUUUUGGUGAAUUUUCAAAGUCACACAACUGCUUCUGUCCAACACUGUUUUACUACUAAAAUUCACUCUUACAUAAUUUCACUUAAUCCAUUUUGUCUUAUUGAAGUUCACUCAAAUAUCGAGCACAUUGCUCGUAAUUUUCAUAAACAUAUACCUGCACUUAUUCAUCAUAUAAUCAUGUUUACAUGUAUUUUUACUUAAUCGAUUUUCCCAUUGAACUCUUCGGAAUAAUAACUAAUACUCAGUUGCCUAUACAUAUUUUCACACUUGUAGACAAGGCUAUUUGGUACGCAUAGUAGCCUGCACUUAGUACUACACAUGCGACCAAUUAUCCGGUACACGUAGUAGCUUGCACUUAGUACUACACACGUGAUCAAAGUUAUCGGGUACGCAUAAUAGGCUGCACUUAGUACUACACAUGAGACCAAUUAUCCUGUACACGUAGUAGCUUGCACUUAAUACUACACACGUGACCUCACAAUAGAUCAUUCGUAUCGUUUCUAUUCCGAAGGCUCAACCGGGAAAUUCCUCACUUUCUAACAUGUUACAAAUUUAUUCAUAGUCCUUUUUCAAUUUGCAAUUUACAACAAAUAAUCAUUAGCAAUUCAUACAACCCAUGUAAUAGUAAUUUAACAUUCAAUUCAUGUAACAAUAAUUUGCCAUUCAAUUUCACAUGACACAACAAGCAUCACAUUUUCCAUAUCAUACACAUCAUCCAUCAACUUCUCCUAAACAUAUUAAAUCAGACAAUUUAUUCCAUAACAAUAGAAAAUUACAAUUCAAGUAUGAUAUUGCAUUAUUAUUAACACAUGAACUUACCUCGUAUUCGAAAAUGACCAUUUUUACCAUUUUGUCCACAACAUGGUAUUUUGCCGAUUUUAGCCUGAAUUUCAAUUUUCCUUACUCUAUCAUUACAAAUAUAGCCUAAUUAAGACUCACAUUAUUCAAAUUGACCCAAAAUCAUAUUUUUGAAAAAUUACAAUUUUGCCCCUAAACUUUGUCAAAAUUAUAUUUUUGCCCCUAGAUUUGUAAAUUAAACUUCAUCCUAUUUUAUUAUGUUUUAUGACAUGCUGAUCAUUUUUCCCUUCUAUAGCAACAUUAAAUUCACACUCUAACAUGUACUUAUGAACAUUAGGUAUUUUUACCGAUUAUGUCGUUUUACUCGUUUUCACGUAAAAUCGCUUAGUAAAAAUUGUUUAACACAAUUUCAAGCUUCAUAUUCUACCAUAAAACAUCAAAAUAAACAUAUUUCACCUAUGGGUAUUUUUUCAAAUAUAAACCCUAGGUUAAAUUAUUGCUAGAAUAAGCUUAACCAAGUUACUGAGAUUUCAAAAAUGUAAAGAACUUUAAAAACGGGGCUAAGGAGCACUUACAAUCGAGAUUGGAAGUUUGAACAAACCUUAACCAUGGCUGCUUCUGGUAGAAACAGUUGAAUGAAGAAGAUGAUAGAUAAUUUGGCUUAUUUCCCUUUUUUAAUUCUUUUAAUUAUUAGUUUACCAGAAUACCCCUAACUUAAAAAUAUUUUAUUACAUCCAUUUCAUGUCUAUUUUUGUCCACCAAUUAACCAAUGUCCUAAUUACCAUUUAAGGAUCCUCAAUUUAAAAUUUCAUAACAAUUGGACACCUCUAGCAUGUAGAACUCAACUUUUUCACUUUUUACGAUUUAGUCCUUUUGACUAAAUUAAGUGCCCGAACGUCAAAAUUUUCGAACGAAAUUUUCACGAAAUUAUUUCGUGAAAUCGUAGACCAUAAAAAUAUAAUAAAAAAUAAAAUUUUCAUCGUCGAAUUUCUGGUCCCGAAACCACUGUUUUAACUAGGCCCAAAAUCAGGGUGUUACAAUAUCUUUGAUCCUGGAGAUAGUUUUGACACACAAGAAAGUUUAGGUAAGUUUUUUUUUCUCCUCUGGUGGAAUAGUAGUCAAAUUCGUUUAGCAUUUUUGGGUGCUGUGUGGCUCGAGAGUGUUUUAGCAUCAAAAUCGUAUCAGAUGUGUUCUCAAAUCGUGAAAAUCAAGGUUUCGACGAAAGACAAAAUUGCCUCCUGUCGACGCCACAUGGGCAUGUGGUCACCCGUGUGGUUGGCCGUGUGCGAGACACGGUCGUGUGUCUGACAAAGGUGCGGUCGUGUGUAAGACACGACCGUGUGGUGGUUGGAGUGCGACCGUGUGGGCUAUAUGGGCUAGGCCAAGUUGGGCGUGUGGGCCUACAUGGGCAUGUGGAUUUUGGGCCAGGCAAUGUGGGCCACACGGGUAAGGCCAAUCUGGGCGUGUGGGGCACACGGGUCGUUCCAAUCGACUAUGGGCCUAGCGUAGGGUCGGUAAGGUCUAACCAAACCCUAGUUAUGUGACCUGGUAUUUCUGAUAGUAUACUCUGAGUAGGACACUAUUAUGCAUGUCCAUCUGUUCUGCUACAUGAAUCUCUAUUUUCUGUAUUAAACAUGUUGAGUAUGUUUAAUCUGUAAAUUCUAUAUCUGAUUUUUAUAACUGUUUUGGGGUAGGAUUGUAUAUAUGGAGGAAGUGUUCUAAAAGGCGACCUUCGCCUAUAUUCUGGCAGCUUGGCUGCACAUUAUCUGACUUGUGUCGUAAUGACACAAUAAGGUGUGUAGGGAUAGGUGGGUAUUUUUAACCCCACAUGGUGUGUUGGGAUAGUUAGAGUUGGUGUGUAGAGGAUGGGGGUAGAAUUUUGUAUAUUUUGUUCUGUAUAUCUGAUUCUGUUGACUGUAUCUGAAAUGGGUCUGAGCCCGAAUCUAUAUCUGAUCGCAUAUGGUAUUUCUGUAUGUUUGCAUGCUUAAUUAUGUUAGGUUACUCACUGAGUUUACGAAAACUCACAUUUGCUUGUCUGUUCUGUUCAGGUAAUCCAUAGACUUAGGCAGACUGGUGUGACGGAGACUCAGCGGUGACCACUCGACCGAGAAUUGUAAUGCUUAGUAAUUUUUAUGGUUUUUACUUAACAUUUCUUAAUUUAAUUGAGAGUUUGUAAUUUCUUGGACUCUCUAGACUGUAUGGUUUUUAUCUUGGUUUUGGUUUCAUUUGCUUUAUAAUUGGCAUGGUUUGGCAAAAUGUUUUAUGAAAAUAACGAUUUUUACGCAAAUAAAGGUUUUUUUAAAAAUAUGAACUACCUUUUUGAAAUACAACGAUUUUCGUAAGCUUCCGCUGUAAAACACGUUUAAAGGCAUAUUAAUUAAUUAGAUAACGUUUUGACAUUGAUACAAGCACAUAAGAAUUGAAAAACUGAAAUGGUUUUAUCGUUUUGACUUCGUUUCCAAACCCAUUCUUUGUGACACCUCCAGAUUCGGCCAUAACGUCUAGGCUGAGUUUGGGGUGUUACAAUUAUACCUUGCCAAAAUGUAUAAUCCACUAAAUGACAUCCAAUGCCUAAUGGUUAGACCGUACAUAAUGUUUUGCGCCCAACGCUUAUUGUUUAACUCGACAAGAUCAUUUUUGUGCCUAGCACUAGUCGAACAAAUCGACAAAUUAUUAUGUCCAGCGCUAGUCAUAUAACUGACGAUAGUUGUGCCCAGCACUAGUCGAACAAGUCGACAAAUUAUUGAGCCCAGAGCUAGUCGAAUAACCUAUGAUAGUUGUGCCCGACACUAGUUGAACAAGUCAACAAAUUAUUAUGCCCAGCGCUAGUCGGAUAACUGACGAUAGUUGUGCUCACCAAGAAUUAAAUCCUCAAAACCAUAUUUUAUAAUUUAAUCAACCACAACAAUAUUAAUGAAAAUAUUAUUGAUCUAAUUCAUUAAAUUCGAAUAUUUUUCCAUAGUAUUCCAUCCAAAAGAAUUAACCAAUUAUAUUAAUGGAUAUCAUUUGAUAUCAAAUAUGACCAAAUUAAUUAAAUUAAAAAAAGAGUUCGAGUCAAGGACUACGAACUUACCAUAUUGUGAGGGCUAUUAAGGUCGAUGAUGAUUACUCGACAACCUUCUCCUUUCCACGAUUACUAGCCGAUCCUUUCGUUUCUCGAUCUAAAAUUUACAACAUAAUUAAUUUAAUUUAUUUACUCACCAAGAAACAUUUACUCAAACCAUUAACCCUUUAACCACAUUUCACAUAUUUGCACUCGACAUUAACCUUCAAUACAAUUUAAUCCUCAAUUCCAAAACAUGCUAUUUAGUUAACAAAUCCCAUGUUAACCGUUUUUCCUCAAAGUCCAAAAACAAUUCAUACUUUCAAUCAAUUCACAAUAUAAUCCUAGAAUUUACCAUUUUAAUGAAAAAGUUCCUAAACUUUAAAAUCCAUCAAAAUAACACCAAAAACUUGAAAUUUUCUACAAUGGCAACUUCCACAAACAUCAUAAAUUCUAAAAGUUCCAAUAUGGGUAAGCUAGUUCAUGAUAUUAAGGUUCCAAAAAUAUAAAAUUUAAGUAAAAAAGAUCAAAAUUUACUAACCAAAUUAACUUGAAACUUUCAGCCCCAUGUGUUUCUCUUCUCCUCCUAAGCUUUUCUUGUUCGAAAUUGAAACAAAUUGAAAAGGAAUUUUUAAGCUUCUCUUCCUAUCCACCAUCUAUUAUUCAUCUUUAUUUUAUUUUAUUUACAGUAGUUUAAUAUUAUAGUUAACAUAAUAUAUAUUACAUAUACAUAUAAAUAUGAUAUGACCGUCCCCUUAUUUAACAAUAAGGGUAUAAUUAUUUUUUCAAGUCCUAUAAUUAUAAAUUAGUUUAUAGUUUAAUAAUCAUUAUACUUUUUUCACUUAAGCAAUUAAGUCCCUCUAUCUUAAUUUAAGUUCUAAUUCAAUGAAAUCACCUAACCGAUAUUUAAUUUACUUUUAACAUAAUUCCGUAAAUAUUUUAAUAAAAAUAUUUACAAAUUUGGUUUACGAAAAUGGGGUCCCAAAAUUAUAUUUUUCGGCACUGCUGACUUUCGGGUCAUUACAUUUACAUCCCCAUUCUAGCCUUCAAAGUUGGUUGUCGCGACACCACUAAUGAAUGUCUCGACAUUGGGAUCGUUCUUCAAAUUCCAUGGCCCGAAAUAGUGUCUUGCACACUCAAUUAACCCAUUAGUUUCUCCCUAAGCCUUGAUUGGCCUAGCAGGUCAUUAAACACCUAACAAUGUGUAAAGACACUUAUUCUAUUGAAAUCGAGCACAAAAUGCUAAAAUUGGAAAUUAAUAGUAAUGUAAUCAAAUUACUCGAAAACAAGCUCAUUAACUACAAUAAAGAACCUAAUUACUCGUUGCUUGUCCGUAAAGAAACAAAACAAACAUGCAAGGAAAAAGAAAUAAGAAAAAUAGAAGUGUACUUCAGCAUGCUUCAUACAAGGAAUUAAUUCAGAACAUCAUAAAUAUGAGAGUUUAGUUAAACAUGCAAUUCUAGAAAGAUAUAUGAAUGACUCAUGGUUUUCAUCAUUAAGUAGGUUAGUUCAUUGGGUUAGAAAGGAAACAAGUUAAAGAUUGAUAAAUAUAUGCUUUCAUCAAGCUGACUACACAAGUACUACAUUAAUGUUCGCAGAACACAAGCAAUGGGCACCAAAUUAUAACAACACCACAUUUACCAAAACAUGUGAACUUUACCUAUUUCCAUGAAUAAAGACUCCAUUCUAUUAUGUGCCUAAUACCAUCAUAAUUGGCCAUUUCCAAGGCAACAUCUUAUAUUAAAAUGUCAUGCACUACAAUUCACAAAAGUGACCAAAAGGUCUUACCUAAACAAGCAUUCUUGACAUUAGGAUAUAACAUACUAAAAUGCCAUUUACAUAUUCACAAAACACUAUACAAACAUCCUAUACAGCUAUCUAUAAACAAAAGAUUCAAAUCAAUUGAUACCCCCUAGGUACAUGUCAAAAACACAAAAGAGAACAUCACUGACGUUGAGAACGAGAUUCUUGUAGGAUGUUGAGUCCAAGUAUACUAUAUACCUAACCUGUAAACAUGAGAACCCAUUCACAUUAAUUAGAUUUCACUUAUUUGAAUAACCUCAAAUAUAUCUAAAACAUUGAACUUAUUUUUAUAACAUUAAUAAUGUAAUUCAAGAAAUAUAACAUAUCUUCCAAUGAAUACAUAAGCACAUAAGUAAAUAUAAUCCUUCUUUAAUAAUACCUAUAACAACCUUCUUCAAUGGUUCAUAUAACCUGGUGGUAUAGUCCAAUUAAUACACGACACUAGGUGCCUAGCGGAAUAACCGCGAAAGAGUUUGUGUCCAGCGCUAGUCGAAUGAACCGAUAAAUGUUUACCAAGCACUAGUCAAUUAAAUUGACGGAUGUUGCACCCAGUGCUAGUCAGAUAAACCGAUGAAUACAUAAUGAGCCCAACUCUAGUUGGAUAUACCAACGGGAUUUGCGCCCAGCGCCAGCCGAAUGAAUUGACAAAUUAAAUAAUGAGGCCAACUCUAAUUGGAUUAACCAACAAAUUGUUAUUAUUUAAUUACACAAUUUCUUCAUUCAUUGAGUAUAUCUUCAUUUAAAUAUAAACAUAAUAUUGCAUAUCAAGUAUUUAAAUAACAUCUAUUAAUAAUUAAAUAAAUAGAUAAAAAGGUUAAAUUCAAGAUUAUGAACUUACAGAAUUAUGGAAGCUACUAAAAUAAAAAAAAAUCACUCGAUAGCCUUUUCCUUUUUGCGAUUAGCAAUUGAUCCACUCAAUUUUUUAUUUAAAAAUAAUAAUUUAAAUUUAAUAAUCCAACCACCAAGAAUAUUUAUACUCAAACAUUUAACCCCUUUGAACAAAUUUCACAUCUUUGCAUUCAAUUCAUAUAAACUAUUUUCCAGCAUUCCUUUAACUACUAAAAAUUACAAUUUAAACCAUAUUAUUUUGAAUUUACAACAUUUAAGUCCCUAGAAAUUGUUAUCAGCAAAAAUAACCACACAAUUUGACCAAAUUAGCCUACAAGACUUAUACUUCAAUCAUCACUUCAAGGACUUUUAACAUUCAACAAAAUAACACCAAACCUUUGAAUUUCUUAUCCAUUAUAACCUCCAUAAAUUUCAUUCACUCUCAAAUUUUCAACAUGAGCCAACUAACUCAUAACACUAAAACAUCAAAAACAUAAAUUUCAUGCAGAAAUAACCAAAUUUCACUUACAAAUUUAAACAUGCAUUAUAGCUUCUUGGCCGAACAACCCCUUCUUCCCUUUCCUUAUGGUUUCGCAAAGAAGAAAAAAAUAAAGAAAACUAUUGCUUAAUUUUCUUCUCCCCACUAACUAUUUUUGUUAAUAAAAUAUAACCUUUCAUAUUAAUUUUUAACUUAACUAAUAUUCUAACAUAACACAGAUGUAAAAUACUAAUAAAAUACACUAAUAUAAUUAAUGGCUUAUUUACUUAAUAAGUCCCUUGAUAUUGAUCCACCUUAUAAUUUAAUUUAAAUUCUUAUUUUUAUCACUUAUUUGAUUUAAUUCCCUUACGUUAAUCAAACACUUAAUACUUAGAAUUAUCUAACUAUCAUACAAUUCCCUCCUAAGACAAAUUCUAAAAAAAAUAUUUAAUGAAAAUAAUUAUAAACUUAAUUCACAGAACGGGAUCCUGGAAGUACGUCACUCGACACCUUUAACUUUUAGGUUGUUACAAUAUACGUAACAAAAACAAAACAAAGAGGGAACAACAAAAGAAAAAUGUAAAAGAAAAAGAAAUAGAAACAAGGAGAAAAACGCGGGAAUUAGGGAGAAUGGAAUAGAAUAGAAGGAGAAAUAAAAUAAAAACAAAAGGCAAAAUGCAAAAGUGGGGGGAGUAGGUGAGAGAUAAUUUUGGAAACCAAUUUUUUUUCAAAAAUUAAAGAUAAAAUAUAAUAUAAUAAAACAAAAUUCUAAUUUAUCAGAUUUUUCCUUAAAAUUUAAAUUUGACUAAAUUUUUGACAGAAUAAACGACAUGUAAAAAGGAGCAAAAAUAUUUUCAUUUUGCACUCACAAGGAUUCGAAUACAAUACCAAAAAAUAAGUUGAAGCCUUACCACUAAAUCAAUAAGUUCUUUCUUAUUAACAAUUGAGCGAAAAUUAAAUAUAAGUUAGAUAUGCAAAAAAAGAGAUAGGGACAAAACUAGCAAAAAUUAAAAAAAAAAACAAUUUGAACAUAAGACCUCAAACACACAUCCAAAGCACUUAUCCACUAAAAUAGAUCAAUUUACUCGAUAACAUUUCCGCAAUCAUAACUAAAAAUCAGGACGUGACCAGUCUUGACUUCACUAACUCAAUUUCUUCUAACUCGGUUUUCGAGUUGUGACAAAAAUUUUCAUAUAUUAUAAUAUUAAAUAUGUUACUUUCAAAAAAAUAAAAUUAAUUUAUAGCAUUCAUAUUAUAUAAGGAUUUAAGGAUUUAGUAUUUAGUACACUAACAAUGUACUUUUUUUUUAUUCUACUAGUAGUUUUAAAAAAUUAUCAUGUCUCUUUUUUUAAAAUAUAUUUUACUAUAACCCUAUAGGACUCUUGUUAAUCUCUUAACCCUAUUUAUGGAGUCUAAAAACUUUAUUGACAGUGUACCAACUAUUAUUUCAUUAUAUAAUCAUAAAUAUUACAUAUUAUAUGUACUUUUAGUUAUAUUAUAUAAAAUAUCUUUAUUUUAAUAAAAUAUAUAUAAUAUUUGAAUUCGAAUCAAAUCCAUAUUUUAAAUAAAUUUUAUUUUACCUAAAACCUAGGGAGCCUAAUUUUAUUUUCAAACCAUCAGACGAUUGUUUUAAGUUUGUUUCACCAUCUAAAUUAAUUAUAAUAUUAAAAAUAUAUAAUAAAAAAUAUAUUUAAUAGUUAGAAGAAUUAGUUGAAUUGUAUGGACAGAUGUGACGGAACGUGGUACAAUCCUUAUAUAGGGUAGAAAUGAGGUUUUAAAUGAUGAAGCGAUAAGUGAAAUCUAUAAUUGUUAAUGAGUAGGUUUCUUUGUUGAAACUCGAAUGUUGGUUUAAAUUUGUGUGAGGUUUACUUAAAGUUUAUUUAAAUAUAGUUUGAGUUCAUACUUAAAUAUUUAAUGUUUGAAUUAAUUUAAUUUGACUCGUUUUUAAGUUAGUAAUAUUUUAUGUUAUGUUAUUUUAAUAUGUUAUGUAAUUUAUAAUAUAUAAAAAUUAAAUUUUUAGUAGUAUUAUAUAAAUAUUAAAAAUUGUUAAAGUGACUAUAUAUAAAAUUAUUAAAUAUUUAAUUAAAAUUAAAAUAAAUAUUUAUUUAAAUUUUUUUUAAAAAUAAUAUAAAUAAACUUAAAAUAAGAUUGGAUUAAUCAUUUAUAAAUAUAAAUAAAUUUAAUAAAAUUUUAAACUUAUAUUUUAAAUUAAAUCAAAUUUAGAUAAAUAUAAAAUAUAUUAAUAACAUGCAUAAACUCAACCUGCACUCAGCUCUACCCAUAAACAUUUAUAGUGAAAACCAACAGAAAUGUGGAGGAUAGGAUGGAGAGGUAGAAGAGUGGAGGCUAGAAUUGGAUGGAUGCACCAAAGUCACGUGCCACCCAGUCUUAACAACUAGCCAUGUGGACUUGGCUCUGCUCAACCACGUGACUCUCAACUACCCUCUCCCAAGCUCCUAUAUCUUAUUUAUAGGACCAAACUCUGGACUGUCAACAACACCUUCUGUUCUUUUUUACCAUUCAUAGCAUAGCAGCUUAGUCCAACUCCACACCCACCACCAUUGGCUGUUUGUGAUCAUCCGAAAAAGAAUGGUGACCGUGGAAGAAGUUCGUAAGGCUCAACGUGCCCAAGGCCCUGCCACCGUGUUGGCCAUCGGCACAUCAACCCCGCCUAAUUGUGUUGAUCAGAGCACAUACCCUGACUACUAUUUCCGUAUCACAAAUAGUGAGCACAAGACCGAGUUGAAAGAGAAGUUCAAGCGCAUGUGUAAGUUUUUUACUUUAAUCUAAAAGCUAAAUUACCUUAUAUACAAACUUAAUGUGAUUUUGUGUUUCAUACAUGAUUCGGCUAUGAAAAUAAAAGAGGAGAAAGAUAGAUGUGCAUGGUUCAUAUCAUUUUCAUGCAAAUGCUUUAACGGAAAAAAAGUUAGCUACGUAUACAGUAUGACUUGAAAAUAGAUUAAAGUUCUUUUCUGGUUCCAAAAAUACUAGAUUGAAGUUUGUUAGGUUCAUUUCUUGUAAAGCACAUUUAUUCAAAUCAUAUAACUCCACAGACUUAAUUUGUCUCACGUUUUCUAUCAAUAGAUUAAGGAUUUGAUUACAAGUUUGAAAUUUAUACAAGUGAAUUAAUAAGUUUUUCUUUUUUUUUACCAAAUAUUAGUAAGUUGUUAGAUGUUCUAGCUUAUAAUUUUUUUUUUAUUUUUUUACAAUACUAUAUAUUUAUUAUUUUUAUGAUUUCAAAUAUUAUAUAGUUGAUUGAGUCUUAGUUUGAUUGACAUUGACAUUGUUAUCAAUACAAAAAACGUAGAUUCGAGCGCAUUAAAAUACGUUUAUCCUCAUAUUUAAAUAUUGGAAAGGAUUAUGGAUAGUUUCAAGUAUUAUAUAAAUAUUAAUUUUUUGGACGAAUAAUAAAUGUUAAUUUGAAAUUAUUUUUCUUUUAUAUUUUAUAUUAUAGUAUUUUUGUGAAAUUUCUAUAAUUUUUAAAAAUAAUUUGAUCAUUUCAAUUAUAAAUUUUUAAAUGUUUUUUUCAUAAAUGUACUUUUAAAUAAUUUUUUUUUUCAAAUUAUAAAUCUGCAUUGCAUUCUUUCUGCCCAUGACCCACCUAAAAGUUUCUUACGAUUGAAGCUUUUAUGAGACAGAGAAUGACAAUAUGUAUUAUAUAAUAUUAUAAACUGAAUUAGCAAUGGAUUUUGAAGGGGGAGACCUAGACUGAUGUUUUCCCUAUCUAGUGAAGUUGGAUAAAAAAAUCAGUUAAAACACUCUUAUAUGCUAAGUUGGGAGAAUUAAAAGUAAGUUUAUUGUGUUUGAUUAUUUAGGUGAAAAAUCGAUGAUCAAGAAGCGAUACAUGUACCUUACAGAAGAGAUUUUGAAAGAGAAUCCCAAUGUAUGUGAAUACAUGGCUCCUUCACUGGACGCUAGGCAAGAUAUGGUGGUAGUUGAGGUGCCAAAGCUAGGCAAAGAAGCAGCCACCAAGGCCAUUAAGGAGUGGGGCCAGCCCAAGUCCAAGAUCACCCACCUUGUCUUUUGCACCACUAGCGGUGUGGACAUGCCUGGGGCUGACUACCAGCUCACCAAGCUUUUAGGCCUCCGCCCCUCCGUUAAGCGCCUCAUGAUGUACCAACAAGGUUGCUUCGCAGGGGGGACGGUGCUCCGAGUGGCUAAGGACUUAGCUGAGAACAACAAAGGUGCUCGUGUACUUGUUGUGUGCUCGGAGAUUACUGCUGUUACCUUUCGUGGACCUAGUGACACUCACCUAGACAGUCUUGUGGGCCAAGCAUUGUUUGGUGAUGGUGCCGCAGCUGUUAUAAUCGGGGCAGACCCCGUGCCCGAAAUCGAGAAGCCCAUGUUUGAACUAGUCUCAGCAGCCCAAACGAUCUUGCCAGAUAGUGAUGGUGCGAUUGAUGGUCACCUUCGUGAAGUUGGUCUUACAUUUCACCUUCUUAAGGAUGUUCCGGGGCUUAUUUCGAAGAAUAUAGAAAAGAGCCUGGUAGAAGCAUUUCAACCAUUGGGCAUAUCCGAUUGGAACUCCCUUUUUUGGAUUGCUCAUCCUGGUGGUCCAGCAAUAUUAGAUCAAGUAGAAGCCAAAUUAGCACUGAAGCCAGAGAAGCUACGAGCCACAAGGCACGUUCUUUCAGAGUAUGGUAACAUGUCAAGUGCUUGUGUUCUAUUUAUUUUGGAUGAGAUGAGGAAGAAAUCAAGGGAAGAUGGGCUUCAGACCACAGGAGAAGGAUUGGAGUGGGGAGUGCUCUUUGGGUUUGGACCUGGCCUCACUGUUGAGACUGUUGUGCUCCAUAGUGUUGCUGCUUAAAGUUAAACAAACAUGCCUUUUAAGUAAUUGGUCGUGCUCCACUUGGCUUGCAGUUUUAUCUUCUUCUUUUUUCCUUUUUUAGAAUCCUAUGAAUUUGUGUGUUUAUCGUUAAAGACUAGAAGCCUUUGAUGGUGUGGGCGGGAAGCUUAACGCCUAUUCAAUUCAUGUAUCAACUUAUAUUAAAUUUAUGGCAAUAAUAAGUUACUUUGCAAACUAUUCUACCAAAAACAAACUUCUGUUAAUCUCUCUAUAUAUGGAUCCUUAUGCUAACAGUUGUAUUAUUUUCCCAUAAAAUGUUUUUUAAUUAUUUCUUUUACACGUGAAUUGUUAUUCCUACUGAGUCUACUCCUUUGUUUGCAUAAGCUAAUAAAAAAAUAAUUUUAUUAAAUUCUAAACCAACUAAUCAUCGAAAAAUAUUUUUCAAAAAAGCUAAUAAAAACUUAAAAUUUAACUUAAAACCUAAAUUUUAAAACCUAGCAGAAUCAAUUUACCUAAAAUCUAUAUCUAAAAAAAAUUAAAUCUAAAACUUAAAAUCUAAAAGUAUGAAACAUAAUUCUAAAAAUUCAAUUUAAAUUAAAAAUCCAAUUUGAACUUAAUAAACUUAAAAUCUAAUUGGAACAUAAAUUAAAACUUUAAAUCUAAAUCCUAAAAGUAUAGGAUCAAAAUUUUACUAAAAAAGACUAAGAUAAAUUUUUAAAUUCUCAAAUCUUGUUAGACUAAUUUGAGUCUAGAAUCUAGUUAAACUUAAAAUAUAAACUAAAUUCAAAAUUUUAUUUCAUUUAAAGUUUUAAAAUCUAUUUUACACUUAAAAUUUAAUGAUUCGAUUUUCAGUGGUGUCGUAUAAUGUGGUUUAGAAAUCUCAUUUCUGUGAACCAGGUCUGUAAAUAUAAAAGGGAAAAAUAUAAAAUUAGUACCUGAACUUGUCCACUUUUCCAAGAUUGGUACUUAAGGUUUUUUUUGUCUCAGAUUGGUACCCGAACUUUUUUUUCGUCAACUAGUUUGGUACUUGAACCUAACGGCAUUAAUUUUUUGUUGACAUGGCAGCACUAGCCAUCACAUGUUGCCACAUGUCACUCUAUUUGGCAUGAAAAAUCGUUCCCCUAUAAUUAUUUUCCAUUUCAUUUUAUAUUUUUAAAAACUCUUUCAUUUAUUUUUUCUUUAUUUUAUUCCUUUGAAAUAUGUUUUUCCCAUCCUCUUCUUUUACAUUUUUGGCUACUGCAUUUUUUUUCCUUUCUUUUUCUGCAAUUUUUUUCUUUGUUUGCUUCCCUUUGGAGUUUAAUGUUUAAUGUUUCAAGUAAGGAACUGUAUGAUCUAUGGUUAUUGAUCCAUUUCCCAUCUGAUUUUGAUUUCAUUUUUGUUCCAUGUUUUCAUGGAUUUGAAUACAAAUUGAAAUCUAGACUUAGAACACCCAUUAGAAAAAAAAAAUACAGGCUUAGAACAACCAUCAAUCUAUUAAAAAAAAACCAGAAAAUUAACAUCACAAAUAAAACCCUAAAAAAUUUAUAUAACAAACAAAAUCCAUCAAUCCAUAAUAACACAAAACCAAACAAAAAAAGAAAAUGAUGAGAAGCAAAUUAAAACCAAUACUCGUUUUGAGUUUUUGGGUUUUUGAAAUUAAAAAACAAAGAAAAAAAAACCUAAUUUUGUGGUGCUAGAACUGAUUGAACAAAAGGACCUGCUCUGUCACUCUAGAGAACUAAUUGAAGAGAGGGUUUGUUUGACUAAACCUAAAACCUUUUUUUACAUUUUCAAACUUCAAGGUAGUCUCCGCCCAUGAAAAGCUUAUUUUUAAUUCAAUCAAACUUCUUAUAGGACUGGUAAGUCUCACAUCAGUGCUUGUAUCGGGUGCUAUUCCGCUUACUCUACUUCUCUUUUGUCGAUUACAUGAAAGCUAUGGCCAAGCCCUAAGUUGGGGACGGAAGGGAUAACUUAGAAAAUCAUUGGCCUAAGCCUAGGCAUAUAAGGCUUUUUAACUUUGUUUUUAGUAAGGAAACAUUGUUUCCUUUUUGUUCUCUUAGUGAUAUCGAAUCGAGCUUGAGGAGAAGCCACAAUCAAGUUCUAAGAUUCAAAAAUAGUGGCUCGGUUCAAUGUUGAAGAGCAGGAACAAUGAAGCGACAACUAGGGGAUUUGAAAACAAAAAAUAAAGUAGAAAGAAGAGGAGAAUAAGCGAGAGAGAGAAAUGAAAGGUGGAUUGUGUAACACCCCAAACCCGACCUAGACAUUAUGGUCGAAUCCGAAGGUGUCUCAAAGAAUAGGUUUGAAAACAAAUUCCAUAUGAUAAAACCAUUUACGUUUCUUUCCAUCUCUUAUUUGCUUGUGUCUAAUGUCAAAACGUUAUUCCAUUAAUUAUUUUUCCUUUAAACAUGUUUUUACAGCGGAAGCUUUUGAAAACCAUUCUAUUUCAAAAUUCAGUUCACAUUGUCAGAAAAACCCUUUAUUUGCGUAAAACCGCCGUUUUCAUAAAGCAUUUUACUGAAACAUUCAACUAUCAAAUAGCUCAAAAAUCAACAGUUAAAAACCAAAUAGUCAAGUCUAGAGAGUCCCAGAAAUUACAACUCUUAAAUAAAACCAGAAAUAUAAUUAAAUAAAUAAAAAUAUAAAUUACUAAGUAAAGCAGUUUUCAGUCAACUGGUCACCACUGAGUCUCUGCCGCACCGAUCCGCCUAAGUCUGUGGAUUACCUGAAUAAAACAAACAAACAGGAGUGAGUUUUCAUAAACUCAGUGUGUAACCCAACAGAAUUAGUCAUGAAAAGCAUACGGAAAUCUCAUAUAAAUAUAUUCAGAUACAGAUUUGGAACAUGUCCUUCUUAGAUACAAAUAAUCAUAAUCCUACCCCCAUCCUCUACACACCAUCUCUGACCAUCCCAUCACACCAUGUGGGGUUAAAACACCCACCUAACCUUACACACCAUAUCAUGUCGUUACUAAACAUAUCAGAUAGUAUGCAGCCUAGCUGCCAGAAUAUAGGCGAAGGUCGCCCCUCAGAACACUUCCUCCAUAUAUACAAACCCACCCCAAACACAAAUAUAAAAAUCAAAUUCAGAUUUUUCAGAUUAAACAUGCUCAACAUGUUUUUAUACAAAUAACAGAUAUACAUAUAGCAGUACAGUUACGCAUACAUUUAAUAUCCUACUCAGAUCAGAUUAUCAGAAUAUCAUAACAUACAAAAUAGGGUUUAAAUAGCCCUUACCGACCCUACAGUAGGGUCAUAGUCGAUCGGAGCAACCCGUGCAAAAAUUACAGAAAUAUGGGCCCAUAUACUCAUUUGGGCCCAUAUGCCCAUAUGGCCCACAUGCCCAAUUUAGCCUUUGCCGUGUGGCCUACAUGGCCUGGCCCAAAAUCCACACGCCCAUGUGGGCCCACAUACCCGUGUUGUCCACACGCCCAACUGGGACUGGCUCAUGUGGCCUAUACGGCCACACUCGAGCCACCACAUGACUGUGUCUUGCACACGACCAUGCCUACGUUGACCACACGACCAUGUCUCGCACAUGGCCAUCCAUACGGGCGACCACAUGCCCGUGUGGCAUCGAAUGAUUCAUUUUUUAACUUUUGUCGAAGCCUCGUUUUUUGUGUUUUGGGUACAUUCCUAGUACGAAUUUGAUGCUAAAUCACUCCCAAAUCGACCAACACCUAAUAACAACAAGAAGAUUACCCAUGAUUACUUAAACCUUUCAAACCAACCGAAACACUUCUUGGCCAUAACUUAAAAACACAACCGAAACUACUCUCCAAUGAUUAAAAAACUUACCUUCUGCAAUAACAACCACGCUAUUUCACUACACCACCGAAGGAUCUUGAUUUUCCCGAAGAACACCUACCAACACGGUUUACUGAAUUAACUCGAAAUACCAAAAAGAAACAAAAUACCAAAAGAACUCUCAAUAUACCAACACAAACCCUUACCUUUAAAAGCGAAUGGCAGAACUGAGAAGAGAAACACCAUGAUUGGAAGAGGCAAAAAUUCGAUAGGAAAAAAAAAGUACAGAAACAUCAGAAAUUUUUUGGAAGAAAGAGAAAAAUGUUUUUCUUUUGAAAAUAAAAUAAAAAUAAAAAAUGACAUCCCAAAUCCAUCAUAUCUCUCCCACUAACCCUACUACACACAACUACCUAAGAAGUUUGGCUCCAUCGAAAUUCUAUUAGACGAUUGAGCAAAAAAAUACCCACGCACGCGCAAGGAUUUGAACAUAAGACCUCUAACACACUAACUCUCUUACCACUUGAACCAGCAGGCUCAUUCAGAUGUGAAUUUACAGAUAAUUUAAUAGAAUCCCACUGAACAGAGAUAAGACUUAGAUCCAAAAACAACCAAAAUUGACAGAAUUAGGACUUGAACCCAGGACCUCAUACAUACCCCCAAAACACUUAACCACUGAAGCAGAUACACAGUUGUGUCAAAUAUUCACAGAAGUAGAAUUAAAUUAUUUGGAGCGUUACAGAUCGUUUGGUGCUUCUUUGAUCAGUGAAGGCAUUAGAGUGGAAGUAAGGUGACUGAUGGUGGUACAUGCUGGCAGUGGUUAGGGUUGGGAAAUAAAGGUGGAGAGAAAAUAAAAAAAAAUAAAAGGGAAAUGUGAAAGAAUAAAAAGGAAUGGAAAAACGGGAACAUAAAAGAAGAAAAGAGAGGAGAAAAAAUUGGUAAAAAAUAAAUGACAUCAUCAUGAUGUCAUUAUGCUAUAUGUCACAGUCAUAUUUUGCCACCUGUCUCAGAAUUAAUGCUGUUAGACUGGGUACCGAUUUAGUUGACAAGAAAAAAUUAGGUACCAAUUUGGGAUAAAAAAAACUAUAAGCACCAAUCUGGAAGAAGUGGACAAGUUCGAGUACCAAUUUUAUAUUUAACCAAAUAUAAAAUAGAAAUAUUUAUAUAAUUAAUAUGAAAAUAUAACAAAGUUCAGUUAAGAAAUUUAACCAAGAAAUUAGUUAAUUAAGCUCAGGGACUAAAUUGUAAAAAUCCAAUCCCUACUGAGUUUUAAUUAAGAAAAUGCUUGAAGACCAAGAUAACAAUUAUCUAAAGCACCAAAAUAGUUAAUUAACUAGUUUUAAAUAGUAGAUAGUGGAUGGUGAUGAUGAUAGUCAUUAAGUUAAUAUAAUUAUAAUUAUAUUAAAUAACUAAGGUUAAUUUAAGUUAAUUAAAGUAUAUAUAUAAUAGGUAGUGGAAAGAAAGAUGAGUAGUGGAAAGAAAGAUGAUAAGCUAUCAUCUUUGUAACACCUCUUACCCUUAUUCGACACCGAAAUAGGGUUUGAAGCGUUACCGGACUUAAAUAUAAACAUUCAUAUAAAACCAAGUCAUAAAAUUUUGUUCCAAUUUCAAACUUUUAAAUCACUUACAAUUUGUCCCUUACGAGGGUCUACAAGACCCGAAACAUACAUCGGAAGUAGUUCGAGACUAAACGGAGAACUUUUGGAACCUUUUAAACACUUAGAAAAUUUAUCUUGUUUUAGAGAGUCACACGCCCGUAUGGGUAGGCCGUGUGGUUACACACGCCCGUGUGGCUUGGGACACACCCGUGUCCUCAGCCCUUGUAACUCUCUGACUUUGACGUCAUCAACAAAAUAAGGUCACAGGUCAAGUCACAAGUCCGUGUGCUUAGACCGUGUGGCGAAUUAAAUUCCAAAUAUUAAGUGCAGACUUCACACGACUAGGCACACUCCCAUGUCCUAGGCAGUGUCCUUCACACGUCUGAGACAUACGAUCGUGUCUUUGCCCGUGUGUUUACUAUUGGGCAUUUUGAUUUGCAUAAUUAGGGUGUAGGGGACACACGGCCGGAUCACACGCCCAUGGGGUAGACCGUAUGUCUACACGGCCUAAACACAUGCCCGUGUGGACAAUUUCUAGGCUAUUUUCCAAGCCAUUUGCCACCCUUAAGCACUCACACAUUUACACUCACUUCAUUGCAUGCAACAUGACACAUUUGAUUGUUCAGACAUUCACAUUCAUGAUUAAACUAUGACUUAGUAAAGUCAACAUAUCACCCAUUCAAACUAUCAUACUUCCAUAUGGCAUUCCAUACCAAUUUCAUGUUUAUUUAUCAUCUUUACCAAUUUACCUUCAAGUUACACAUUUUCACCACAUUUAUUGCAUACUUAUUAACCAUAUCACAAUCAUCAACGUACAUGUCAAUCCUCACACUCAUCAACCACAAACAACCAUAACCAUAUUGAAGCAUCAACACAUUUGCAUGCAUGCAUGAUAAAUAGGGCUACAACCCAGAAUAAUCAAUAUGAGCCAUCUCUCAUGGCCAUAUACAAAAUAAUCAUGAUACCAUCCUGAGACAACAUAUUUGGCUAAUCAAUAUGACUCAUAACAAAAAGGCCAAGUUCCUAUACAUGCCACACUCAAAAUAAUAAGGCUAGCUAUAACCCAUGUAACACCCCGUACCCGAGACCGUUGCCGGAGUCGGACACGAGGGGUUCAUAGACUAAAUUCGCUUACUAUCGCAGUCCAUUUUAAAAAUUUCCAGGCAGUUGGCUAACUGCGUCACUGUCACCUUAAAAAUCAUAUCUUGAGUUUCACAACUCGAAAAUCAGUUUCGUAAUUUUUCCCUGAAACUAGACUCAUAUGUCCAUCUACAUAUUUUUUUCUAGAAUUUUUUGGUUGGGAAAAUUAGUACAGUUUAUUAGUUAAAUUCUCCCCUGUUACAGGGUGCGACUACACUGACCUUCAUGCAUUACGAUUUAGAUAUCUCCCUGCACAGAGCUUCAAUACUGAUUCUGUUUGUUUCUAUAGAAACUAGACUCAGAGAGGAAUCUAUACAUAUAUGGCAUGACUCCUAAUUAUCUCUGGUUAAUUUAUAAUUAAUUUCCAAAGUCGGAACAGGGAAUCAAGAAACCGUUCUGGCCCUAUCUCACGAGAACCUGAAUAUCUCUUAACAUACUAUCCAUAUGAUUGUUUCGUUACUUUCCUAUGAAAAUAGAUUCAUCAAGGUUCGUUUACAUAAUUUAUUAACUAUUUAAUUCCAUUCCUACUAUUUUUAGUGAUUUUCCAAAUCUACAUCACUGCUGCUGUCAGCAUCUGCCUUUAAGGUAGACUUUACCUAUUUCAUAGUUUCCAUGAUUCAACUAGCCCUUUUAGCAUAAAUAGCACAAAUUAUUAUAGUGAUUAACCAUUCCCAUGGCCAAUCCUUGUUAUGCAUAUCCACACCUCUCAAUAACCAUAUCCAUACCAAAUGAUUAUAACAUUAUGCUCAAACAUAUAUAAGCCAUUUUCGCAUGGCUAUCCAAAAUUAUACAAAUCCAAAGGGUCUAUGACCCACAACAAAAAGGGUAGUCCUAUACAUGCCAUUUCAAAGUUCAACCAAAAUUGUACCAAAAGGGGGCUUUGAUAGUGUGGGAGACUUCGACUUCCAAAAAUCCCGAGUCCGAUAGCUGACGAGCCAAAAUCUAUAAAACAGAGAAACAAAGAAACGGAGUAAGCAAUUUAUGCUUAGUAAGUUUUGAGCAAAGAAUUUAGACACAACUAAAGUAUAGCAUUCAUGAAGCUAAAUAGAUAAUUUCAUAUGCACAAAUUUUCAAUAUCAUACUUACUUCACGUUACCAACCCUUAUAUUCAUACACAAAGAUUAACUUAGCCAAAGGCCGGUAGCUCAUUUAUCAACUGAGCGAAUACUUAUUUGUAAGGGCUCAACUAAUUCAAAGCACAUACGAAACAUACCUCAAUGUUGGGAUGUUACAAGCGUAUUAACUGAAAUUUUUACAGCAAGAUCGUUCAUUCCCGAAUCACGUACCUUCGGAAUUUAACCGGAUAUAGCUACUCGUUCAAAUGCCUUCGGGACAUAGCCCGGUUAUAGUAACUCGCACAAAUGCCUUCGGGACUUAACCCGGAUUUAGUAACUCGCACCAAUGCCUUCGGGCUUAGCCCGGAAUUAGUAUCUCGCACAAAUGCCUUCGGAUCUUAGUCCGGAUAUGGUCACUUAGCACAAAGCCUUCGGGACUUAGCCCGAACAUCAUUCGAAUAACCAUGCACAUUUAAAAAUAAAUCAUGACACAUUCGUAUUUCAUUUUCAUUAGCAAAACUCAAACACAAGACACUUAUCACUCUUGCAAUUUCGGCUCAAUAACCACACACAAGAGCAUGAUUUUGAUUUUCUUAAAACAUGAUCUAAUCAAAUCAUAAUUUAAGCUCUAUUACUCAAGAACUUACCUCGGAUGUUGUCAAACGAUUCCGAUGGCUAUUCACCACUUUUUCCUUCCCUUUAUCGGAUUUAGAUCCCCUUUGCUCUUGAGCUUAAUUUAAACAAAUAAAUUCAUUUAAUAUUUUCACUUGGGCAAUUCCAUUCAAUACAUGUAUGUCAUACAAUUUAAGUACAAUGACCUUGCUCAAUACUAUUUAAACAUCAUGCAUUACCGAACUUCAUCAACACCAUCUAACUUCAUAUAGAAACACAUAUCGUCCUAGGUCGGUGAUGUGAUCCGGCCCGAUUAAUUGAGUCGGGUUCACUUAAGAUGCCCGAUCGUCGACGAGAAGCUCGUUCAAAUUUGUAGAUAGAUGGAGUUUGAAUGUUUUAUAAGUGGAAGGUAGGCAAAAUGGGUUCAAAGGAUGGGUUUUGGUUUGAUGAAAGAUAGGUUCGGUUUAACAAAGAAUUAAGUUACAAAGAUGAUAAAUAAAUGGAAAUGGAUAAAGAACUCAAACUUUAAGAAUGAUUUAAUACUAAAAAGUAUUGCCCCGAGUCUUAUAUUGCUUAAGGUGAAUUUUGAUGAAGGAUAGAAGCGGACCUUGACCCGUUACCUAUAUGGAGGUAAGAACCAAAAGUAUAGGAAGAUGGUUGAACGCCACACUGAUUCGGUGAUAAGUUCAAUGGAGUUCGGAUUGACACCACUAGCAAGCUAGAUAAGUCGCUUCGAGACUCGAACGAAAGAAGAGAGGAGGUAACCUCACAAGAACAAAAGUUCUAUUAAGUUUAAUUGAUCAAAUUCUGUAACACCCCGAACCCGAGUCCGACACCGGAGUCGAACACGAGGUGUUAACAAACUUUGAAAAAUUUCCAGACACUGCCCAAUCUGUGUACUAGUCGCUUUAAAAAUCAUAUCUUGAGUUUCACAACUCGAAAAUCAGUUUCGUGAUUUUUCCCUGAAACUAGACUCAUAUUCCCAUUUACAUAUUUUUUUCUAGAAUUUUUGGUCAGGCCAAUUAGUACAGUUUAUUAGUCAAAGUCUCCCAUGUUACAGGGAUCGACUACCCUGACCUUUGCGCAUUACGACUUGGAUAUCUCUCUGCACAGAGCUUCAAUACUGAUGCCGUUUGUUUCUAUGGAAACUAGACUCAGAGAGGAAUCCAUAAAUAUAUGGUAUGACUCCUAAUUAUCUCUGGUCAAUUUAUAGUGAAUUUCCAAAGUCGGAACAGGAAAUCCAGAAACUGUUCUGGCCCUGUCCCACAAGAACCUGAAUAUCUCUUACUGUACUGUUCAUAUGAUUGUUUCGUUACUUUCAUAUGAAAGUAGAUUCAUCAUGGUUCGAUUACAUAAUUUAUUCACUAUUUAAUUCCACUCCUACGAAUUCUUGUGAUUUUUCCAAUCCACACCACUGCUGCUGUCAGCCUCUGUUUUCAGAGUAAACCUUACCUAUUUUCGGGGUUUCAUGGACCAACUAGGGCCUUGUCACACAUAUGCCCACAUAUGAUCAUACUUAGCCAUUCCAAUGGCUGAUCAUUUGCUCAACACUUCCAUUCCAACUCUAGUUACAUCAUGAAACCAUCUAUACAUUCAUAAACACGAAUGGUCUAAUGCCAUACUCCACUUUUACAAGCCAUUUUCGCAUGGCUGUACACUUAUACAUUUCAUAAAGUACUCGAAAAACAACAAUGGGUAGUCCUAUACAUGCCAUAUCAAAAUCCAACCAAAAUAGUACCCAAAAGAGCCUUUGAUAGUGUGGGCGACUUCGACUUCAAGAUCCCGAGUCCGAUAGCUGGAGAACCAAAAAUCUAUAAAACAGAGGAGCAAUGUAACGAGUAAGCAAUUUAUGCUUAGUAAGUUUUGAGCAAGGAAUUCCAGCAUAAACAAAGAAUAACACAUGUUUAGCUAAACGGAAUAUUUCAUAAUACGCAAUUUACCGAUAUCAAACUUGCUUCACAACAUUAACAACCAUUAUGUACAUACACAAUAGACUAACUUAGCCGAAGGCCGGUAGCUCGUUUAUCAACUGAGCGAACAUUUAUUUGUACGGGCUCGACUAAAUUCAACGCAUACGUAACAUAUCCCCAUAUUGGGAUGUUUUUCGUGUAUUCGCUGGAAUUUUACAGCAAGCUCAUUCAUUACCAAAUCACGUACCUUCGGGAUUUAACCGGAUAUAGCUCCUCGUUCAAAUGCCUUCGGGACAUAGCCCGGUUUUAGUAACUCACACAAUGCCUUCGGGACUUAACCCGGAUUUAAUAACUCGCACGAAUGCCUUCGGGACUUAACCCGGAUUUAAUAACUCGCACAAAGGCCUUCGGGGCUUAACCCGGAACUUGUAUCUCGCACAAAUGCCUUCGGAUCUUAGUCCGGAUAUAGUCACUUAGCACAAAGCCUUCGGGACUUAGCCCGGACAGCAUUCAAUUAAUCAUGCACAUCUAACAAUGUUUCAUGGCACAUUCUUAUUUCUUUUUCAUUAGCAAAACCCAAACGCGAGGCACAUACCAUCCUUGCACAUUCGGCUCAAUAGCCACACAUAGAGCAUGAUUUAAUCACAUCGUAAUUUAAGCUCUCUUACUCAAGAACUUACCUCGGGUGUUGUCGAACGAUUCCGCUAACUAUUCGACCACUUUUUUCCUUCCCUUUAUCGGAUUUAUUUCCCCUUUGCUCUUGAGCUUAAUUAAACAAAUAAAUUGAUUUCAUCAUUUAGGCAUCAAAAAGAUGAACACAAGGCACUUAGCCCAUAUUUAUACAUUAGACAUUAAAGUCUCAUACAUGCAAAAAUCAUGCAUCAACACAACAUAUUAGCUAAUUUCUUUCCCCUUGGCCGAAUAUGCAUGCCUAUUUUUGGGGUCGAUUUCAACACUUAAUACACACAUAUACACAUUAGUAAAGCAUCCUCCCCCUUUUCAUCAAUUUAACACAUGCAUUGCUCAUUAACAUGCAAAGUUACAUUCGGCCUUAGCACACAUCUUGCUAGCCGAUUCUUCUCCAUUUAGCAAUCAAUGCACAUAUGUGCUCACACAAAAAUGCUAAAAAGGAGGUUCAAAAAUCAUCAAGCCAUCAUCACAUGCAUCAUUAGCAAGCUUCAUAUUUUGCAUGCAAUGGCAUUAACACGACCUCCACCUAGGCCGAAUCUUAACUCAUCCUCAUGCCUCAUCACCACAACAUCAAACAUCAACCAAGAAUGAUGCAUCCAUGGUCAAGUGCCAUUUCCAUCACAUAGCAAGAUUUAGACCAUGGGCUAGGUAGAACUCAAGCUAACAACUAAAACAUGCAUGCAUCUCAUGGAACAUCAUCAAACAUACCUUAGCCUAGCUACAUGCAUGGCCGAAUCUCUUCACCUUUCUUCUUAUUUCCUCCUUAAAAUUUUGGCCAAGGAUGAACCAAAGGAUGAGAAAAUUUUUCUUUGUUUUUCUUUCUAGUUUCGGCAAGCAUGAAGAUGAGAAAAGGAUGAACAAAAAUUCUCUCCUUUCUUUUCUUUAGCUCACGGCAAUGGGGGGGGGGGAAAGAAUCAACUACACACUUUUUUUUUUGUGUAUUCAUCAUGCUCCUUUUCAUUAUUUAAUUCCCAUGCCUAUUAUUUUAUUUUUUUUCCACCCAUGAUGCACCAACAAAACAUGUCUAUGACAUGUCUUGGCCAUCAAACUUGGUCUACCAUGCUUGUCAUGGCCGGCCACUACUAGUAGGGGGGGGGGGAAAUUUGACAUGCAAGUCCCCCCUUUGUCCACAUGCACUAAUAGGUCCUCACACAUUGACCUAUCACAUUUUAGAAUUUUCUCACAUAAGUCCUAUUGACUAAAUCCUCAUGAAAUCAACCAAAUUGAAGCUUGAAAUUUUCACACCUUCAUAAUUACAUAUUCUAGACAAUAAGUAUCACAUUCAAACAUUUCGGUGACUCGGUUUAGCGGUCCCGAAACCACUUCCCGACUAGGGUCAACUUUGGGCUGUCACAACUCUCCCCCACUUAAGAAAUUUUCGUCCCCAAAAAUCUUACCGGUAAAUAGGUUUGGGUAUCGUUCUUUCAUCGAGCUCUCGGUCUCCCAAGUAGCUUCCUCGAUCCCGUGUUUGAGCCAUAACACCCUUACUAGCGGAACUCUUUUGUUUCGCAACUCCUUCACUUCACGAGCUAGGAUACACAUCGGUUCUUCUUCAUAGCUCAUGUCGACUUGAAUUUCAACCUCUGAUGGGCUAAUUAUAUGCGAUGGAUCGGAUCGAUAGCGUCGAAGCAUCGAAACAUGAAAGACGUCAUGAAUCUUUUCAAGCUCCGGGGGCAAAAUCAAUCUAUACGCAACCGGACCAACUCGUUUGGAGAUUUCGUACGGCCCAACGAAUCUUGGGCUCAACUUGCCCUUACGGCCGAACCUGAGUAUCUUUUUCCAAGGUGAAACCUUAAGGAACACUUUGUCUCCCACCUGAUACUCGAUGUCUUUUCGUUUCAAAUCUGCGUACGACUUCUGACGAUCCGUGGCUACCUUCAGACUUUCACGGAUUACCUUUACUUUCUGUUCAGCAUCUUUAACCAAAUCAACUCCGAAAAUUUUACUUUCACCGAGCUCGGUCCAAAACAAUGGUGUACGGCAUUUACGACCGUACAAAGCCUCGUAAGGUGCCAUCUUAAUACUUGAUUGAAAACUAUUGUUGUAAGCGAAUUCAAUCAAAGGUAAAUACCGUUCCCAUGAACCACUGAACUCGAGGAUGCAACAUCUCAACAUAUCCUCGUAAGGCACUUGAUGUUCCGCUUUCACUUGUUGACAUAUUAAACAUCUCGAAACAAAGUCGGAGAUGUCCCGUUUCAUACCAUGCCACCAAAAUUGACGUUUCAAAUCAUUGUACAUUUUCGUACUCCCCGGGUGAAUUGACAUUCGGCUACAAUGGGCUUCGUUCAGAAUCAUCGAAAUGAGUUCCGAAUUUCUUGGAACACACAAAUGAUUUCUGAACCUCAAACAAUCACCAUCAUCAAUUUGAAACUCUGAUUCCUCGCUCGGAACACACUUAGCCCGUUUUGCAACCAAUUCAUCAUCGACUUUCUGAGCUUCACGAAUUUGGUGAGUCAAUAAUGGUUUAGCUUUUAAUUCAGCUACUAACACAUUGUCUGGUGGAACAGACAAAUGCACGUUCAUUGCUCGUAAAGCAAACAAUGACUUCCGGCUUAAGGCGUCCGCAACCACGUUAGCCUUUCCCGGGUGGUAAUCAAUGACAAGCUCGUAAUCUUUCAACAACUCAAGCCAACGUCUUUGUCGCAGAUUCAAGUCUCGUCGAGUCAUCAAAUAUUUGAGACUUUUGUGAUCCGGAAAUACAUGGCACUUCUCACCAAACAGAUAAUGUCGCCAUAUUUUUAAAGCAAACACGAUGGCAGCUAGUUCGAGAUCAUGGGUCGGAUAAUUCCUCUCGUGUGGCUUCAAUUGUCUCGACGCAUAGGCCACGACUCGACCUUCUUGCAUCAAUACGCAACCCAACCCAAGUAGGGAUGCGUCACUAUAAAUGACAAACUCUUUACCCGAUUCGGGUUGCACCAAAAUUGGAGCUUCAGUCAAAUGAGUUUUCAGUUGGUCAAAACUUUUCUGACAUUUCUUUGUCCACUCGAACUUAACAUCCUUUUGAAGUAGCUUCGUCAUUGGUGUGGCUAUCAUCGAGAAACCUUUCACAAAUCGUCGGUAAUAACCGGCGAGCCCCAAAAAGCUCCGAACUUCAGUAAUAUUUCUCGGAGGUUUCCAGUCAAGUAUGGUUGAAAUUUUGUUCGAGUCAACACGAAUACCUGACGCGGAUACCACAUGACCCAAGAAGCUAACCUCUCUUAACCAGAACUCACACUUACUGAACUUAGCAUAUAACUGCUUAUCCCGCAAAAUUUGCAGCACUAGCCUCAGAUGCUCAGCAUGUUCGGUCUCAUCUCUUGAAUAGACCAAAAUGUCAUCAAUGAACACAACUACGAACCGAUCCAAAUACGGUCUGAAGAUCCGAUUUAUCAAAUCCAUAAAUACCGCAGGGGUAUUAGUGAGCCCAAACGGCAUCACUAAGAAUUCGUAGUGACCAUAUCUCGUUCUGAAGGCAGUUUUGGGAAUAUCUGAAUCUCGAAUUCGCAACUGAUAAUAGCCCGAUCUCAAAUCUAUUUUUGAGAACACUGAGGCUCCCUUCAGUUGGUCGAACAAAUCAUCAAUGCGCGGCAACGGAUAUUUGUUCUUUAUCGUCACUUUAUUCAGCUGACGAUAGUCAAUGCACAACCUCAUGGUUCCGUCCUUCUUUUUCACGAACAAAACUGGUGCACCCCAAGGUGAAAAACUUGGUCGAGCGAAACCUCUAUCCGUCAGUUCUUGCGACUGAGCUUUCAACUCCUUUAACUCGGUUGGUGCCAUACGAUACGGAGCUAUCGAAAUCGGCGUAGUCCCAGGUACAAGCUCAAUACCAAACUCUACCUCCCGAACAGGUGGUAAACCGGGUAAUUCUUCCGGAAAAACAUCCGGGUAUUCACAAACCACCGGCACAGAUUCGGGUUUCUUUUCUAAUUCUUUGUCAUCAAGUACAUACGCAAGGUAUGCUUCGCACCCUUUUCUUACAUAUUUCUAUGCCAACAUUGCUGAUAUUACAGCUGGCAUCCCCUCCAAGUCCGCAGACUCAAUUCGGAUUACUUCGUUAUUUGCGCACCUCAAAUCAAUAGUCUUGCUCUUGCAAUUCACAACCGCAUCAUGCGCGAUCAACCAAUCCAAACCAAGGAUAACAUCAAAUUCAUCAAACGGCAAAAGCAUCAAGUUCGCCGGAAAACAGGAACCUCGAAUUUCCAGGGGACAUUUCUUACACACUUUGUCGACAAGCACGUAACGACCCAAGGGAUUUGACACCCGAAUUACGAACUCAGUAGACUCAAUAGGUAAAGUCUUACUGGAUACUAAGGUUUCACAUAUGUAAGAAUGAGUAGAACCGGGGUCAAUCAAAGCAAUUACAUUAGUAUCAAAGAGAGUGAAUGUACCGGUAAUAACAUCAGGCGAGGAAGCAUCCUCGCGGGCACGUAUAGCAUAAGCUCUAGCAGGCGCACGAGCUUCGGAUCUGGUUAUAUCAUCUCUAGAUCCUCUCUGACCACCACUAGCAUUGCCCGUAUUUCCAGAUGGUCUACCUCGAGCAGUGGUAGCACCCGGUUUCCCACUCUGAUUUUUCAUUCUGUUCAAACAACCUCGGGCAAUCUUUAAUGAAGUGGUCAACUGAUCCGCACUUGUAACAGGAGCGGUCAGGGAAUCUACAACUCCCCGAAUGCCAUUUACCGCAAUAUCGACACUUCGUUCUAUCUCGACGUUCAUUCCCAACACUGGCGACCGAAGUGCCUCGUGUACCCAUAGGGGGUCGAUCACGAUCUCGUCUAAAAAGGCCCGAAGUGCCUCUAAACUGGCCCGCAUCAUCUCGAAAUCUCUUCGAUGUCUGUUGAAGAGACCUUCCCGAGGAUCUUUUACGAAACUCUCCAGUUCCCUCAUCAACUCUUUGCUUUUCUUUUCUAAGCUCUUCGGCUUUACAAGCUCGUUCAACAAGUACCACGAACUCUCGUAUUUCAAGAACGCCAACGAACAUUUUUAUAUCUUCAUUCAGCCCAUCCUCGAAGCGUUUACACAUAAUAGCUUCGGACGAAACACAUUCCCGAGCGUAUUUGCUGAGUCUAACAAAUUUUCGCUCGUAAUCAGUAACCGACAUGGAGCCUUGCUUAAGCUCAAGAAAUUCCUUCCGUUUUUGAUCAACAAAUCUCUGACUGAUAUACUUUUUCCGAAACUCAGUUUGGAAAAACUCCCAAGUUACUUGCUCUCGGGGCACAACAGAAGUCAGAGUACUCCACCAAUAGUAGGCAGAAUCACGUAGCAAGGAGAUAGCACACUUUAGGCAUUCAUCGGGUGUACAAGAUAGCUCAUCGAGUACCCGGAUAGUGUUGUCCAACCAAAAUUCAGCUUGCUCGGCAUUGUCGCUAUCCAUAGCUUUAAAUUCAGUAGCCCCAUGUUUUCGGAUUCUAUCAACUGGGGGCUUACUUGACCUUAUUUGGUCAGUUACCGGAGGUAUUGUAGGUGCGGGGGUAGUAUUUGUCGGGAAUGGAGGUUGUGGAACAGCCAUAUUAAUUCGAAUGUAUUGGUUGAACCAAUCAUUCAUCACGCUAUAGAAUGCUUGUCUAGCUCCAUCAUUCGGAUUACUAGCAUUAGGUUGAGAGUCCGCCGGCGCUGUCCCUUGUGCGGGAGCAGGCGCUACACUCUCAAGAUCAUCAGCUACCUCCCGGUUACGAUCGGGAUCCAUUACUAUAAAUACACAUUUACAAUUGUCAGAAAUCACCACACUAUCAAGUAAUCACAUAAAAUGGCAUGUAUAGCUAGACCCAACACAUUACGGUAGUCCUAGAAUCGACUAAACCGUAGCUCUGAUACCAAUAAAAUGUAACACCCCGAACCCGAGUCCGACACCGGAGUCGAACACGAGGUGUUAACAAACUUUGAAAAAUUUCCAGACACUGCCCAAUCUGUGUACUAGUCGCUUUAAAAAUCAUAUCUUGAGUUUCACAACUCGAAAAUCAGUUUCGUGAUUUUUCCCUGAAACUAGACUCAUAUGCCCAUUUACAUAUUUUUUUCUAGAAUUUUUGGUCGGGCCAAUUAGUACAGUUUAUUAGUCAAAGUCUCCCAUGUUACAGGGAUCGACUACCCUGACCUUUGCGCAUUACGACUUGGAUAUCUCUCUGCACAGAGCUUCAAUACUGAUGCCGUUUGUUUCUAUGGAAACUAGACUCAGAGAGGAAUCCAUAAAUAUAUGGUAUGACUCCUAAUUAUCUCUGGUAAAUUUAUAGUGAAUUUCCAAAGUCGGAACAGGAAAUCCAGAAACUGUUCUGGCCCUGUCCCACAAGAACCUGAAUAUCUCUUACUGUACUGUUCAUAUGAUUGUUUCGUUACUUUCAUAUGAAAGUAGAUUCAUCAUGGUUCGAUUACAUAAUUUAUUCACUAUUUAAUUCCACUCCUACGAAUUCUUGUGAUUUUUCCAAUCCACACCACUGCUGCUGUCAGCCUCUGUUUUCAGAGUAAACCUUACCUAUUUUCGGGGUUUCAUGGACCAACUAGGGCCUUGUCACACAUAUGCCCACAUAUGAUCAUACUUAGCCAUUCCAAUGGCUGAUCAUUUGCUCAACACUUCCAUUCCAACUCUAGUUACAUCAUGAAACCAUCUAUACAUUCAUAAACACGAAUGGUCUAAUGCCAUACUCCACUUCUACAAGCCAUUUUCGCAUGGCUGUACACUUAUACAUUUCAUAAAGUACUCGAAAAACAACAAUGGGUAGUCCUAUACAUGCCAUAUCAAAAUCCAACCAAAAUAGUACCCAAAAGAGCCUUUGAUAGUGUGGGCGACUUCGACUUCAAGAUCCCGAGUCCGAUAGCUGGAGAACCAAAAAUCUAUAAAACAGAGGAGCAAUGUAACGAGUAAGCAAUUUAUGCUUAGUAAGUUUUGAGCAAGGAAUUCCAGCAUAAACAAAGAAUAACACAUGUUUAGCUAAACGGAAUAUUUCAUAAUACGCAAUUUACCGAUAUCAAACUUGCUUCACAACAUUAACAACCAUUAUGUACAUACACAAUAGACUAACUUAGCCGAAGGCCGGUAGCUCGUUUAUCAACUGAGCGAACAUUUAUUUGUACGGGCUCGACUAAAUUCAACGCAUACGUAACAUAUCCCCAUAUUGGGAUGUUUUUCGUGUAUUCGCUGGAAUUUUACAGCAAGCUCAUUCAUUACCAAAUCACGUACCUUCGGGAUUUAACCGGAUAUAGCUCCUCGUUCAAAUGCCUUCGGGACAUAGCCCGGUUUUAGUAACUCACACAAUGCCUUCGGGACUUAACCCGGAUUUAAUAACUCGCACGAAUGCCUUCGGGACUUAACCCGGAUUUAAUAACUCGCACAAAGGCCUUCGGGGCUUAACCCGGAACUUGUAUCUCGCACAAAUGCCUUCGGAUCUUAGUCCGGAUAUAGUCACUUAGCACAAAGCCUUCGGGACUUAGCCCGGACAGCAUUCAAUUAAUCAUGCACAUCUAACAAUGUUUCAUGGCACAUUCUUAUUUCUUUUUCAUUAGCAAAACCCAAACGCGAGGCACAUACCAUCCUUGCACAUUCGGCUCAAUAGCCACACAUAGAGCAUGAUUUAAUCACAUCGUAAUUUAAGCUCUCUUACUCAAGAACUUACCUCGGGUGUUGUCGAACGAUUCCGCUAACUAUUCGACCACUUUUUUCCUUCCCUUUAUCGGAUUUAUUUCCCCUUUGCUCUUGAGCUUAAUUAAACAAAUAAAUUGAUUUCAUCAUUUAGGCAUCAAAAAGAUGAACACAAGGCACUUAGCCCAUAUUUAUACAUUAGACAUUAAAGUCUCAUACAUGCAAAAAUCAUGCAUCAACACAACAUAUUAGCUAAUUUCUUUCCCCUUGGCCGAAUAUGCAUGCCUAUUUUUGGGGUCGAUUUCAACACUUAAUACACACAUAUACACAUUAGUAAAGCAUCCUCCCCCUUUUCAUCAAUUUAACACAUGCAUUGCUCAUUAACAUGCAAAGUUACAUUCGGCCUUAGCACACAUCUUGCUAGCCGAUUCUUCUCCAUUUAGCAAUCAAUGCACAUAUGUGCUCACACAAAAAUGCUAAAAAGGAGGUUCAAAAAUCAUCAAGCCAUCAUCACAUGCAUCAUUAGCAAGCUUCAUAUUUUGCAUGCAAUGGCAUUAACACGACCUCCACCUAGGCCGAAUCUUAACUCAUCCUCAUGCCUCAUCACCACAACAUCAAACAUCAACCAAGAAUGAUGCAUCCAUGGUCAAGUGCCAUUUCCAUCACAUAGCAAGAUUUAGACCAUGGGCUAGGUAGAACUCAAGCUAACAACUAAAACAUGCAUGCAUCUCAUGGAACAUCAUCAAACAUACCUUAGCCUAGCUACAUGCAUGGCCGAAUCUCUUCACCUUUCUUCUUCUUUCCUCCUUAAAAUUUUGGCCAAGGAUGAACCAAAGGAUGAGAAAAUUUUUCUUUGUUUUUCUUUCUAGUUUCGGCAAGCAUGAAGAUGAGAAAAGGAUGAACAAAAAUUCUCUCCUUUCUUUUCUUUAGCUCACGGCAAUGGGGGGGGGGAAAGAAUCAACUACACACUUUUUUUUUGUGUAUUCAUCAUGCUCCUUUUCAUUAUUUAAUUCCCAUGCCUAUUAUUUUAUUUUUUUUCCACCCAUGAUGCACCAACAAAACAUGUCUAUGACAUGUCUUGGCCAUCAAACUUGGUCUACCAUGCUUGACAUGGCCGGCCACUACUAGUAGGGGGGGGGGAAAUUUGACAUGCAAGUCCCCCCUUUGUCCACAUGCACUAAUAGGUCCUCACACAUUGACCUAUCACAUUUUAGAAUUUUCUCACAUAAGUCCUAUUGACUAAAUUCUCAUGAAAUCAACCAAAUUGAAGCUUGAAAUUUUCACACCUUCAUAAUUACAUAUUCUAGACAAUAAGUAUCACAUUCAAACAUUUCGGUGACUCGGUUUAGCGGUCCCGAAACCACUUCCCGACUAGGGUCAACUUUGGGCUGUCACAAAUUCUGUAACCUUUUACAAUAAACAAGUAAGCUAUUUAUAAGCCUAAAAUGCCUAUUGAUAUUCGGCAUCUAUGUUGUUCACACUAACUUAAAUUCUGUUCACACAGGUAUUUAACAUGUUCACACAAAUAGCAUUAAAAUCCAGUUCAUGCUUGAAGAUGGUACAUGAAUUGGCCGAAGCAUCAUGAUGCUUCACUUGAUGCAUUCAUGCAUCAUUAGCCUUGAAGAAUCUCCAUAAUUCCAUGAAUGUGCAGCUCUUUAAUGAUCCUACAUCUCCCUUGGCUGAAUGAGGCAUUAAUGUGCCUAAAAUACUUGAAUGGUCAUCUUGAAAAUGCAUGAUUCAUGCAUGAAACGUCCCAUGUAUUUUCCCCCAUAAAUAUGAUCCAUGAAUCUUCAAAUACAUGAACUUUCAGCAACUCCCUCUUGCAUGAACGUCCCAAAUGCAUGUGCUCUUUUAAAUGCCAUCCAUUGAACCUCAAUUGUGCAUGCACACUCCCAUACAUUGCACCAAUCCGUUCAUGAACCUGCAGCAAAUUAAAUCAGCAAGUUAAAUGCAUUUCAAACACAUUAAAUUAGCAGCAUAUGAACUCAAUAAUUUUCACAUUAAAUUUGGCCAUACAUAUUAACAAUUUCAGACAUAUUUAAAACAUCAUAAUUAAUUAAGUAUUUAAUUUAGAUGUAAUUAAAACACUUAAUUAAUUAUUUGUCCAGAUUUUAACAAAUUAAUUAACUGAAAAUAAACAACUAAUUCAACUAAAGACAAAUUAAAUGGUUUAUUUCAGCAAAAAAAAAUGCAAGCUAAAAAUAAGCUCAUUGGGUUAAGAUUGAGCUGAAUUGAGCUCGAAUGAGCUGACUUGAGCUUGAGUGAGCUGGAAACGAGCUAAACGGAGCUCAACGAAAAGGAAUUGAACUAAUUUAGCUCGCAUAGGUUUGCAAGCAAUGCUUAGGGAGCUGGUCCAAAAGUGUGCCCGAGGCGUGGCCGUAUCAUCCCCUCCCUCUUUAAAGCGAUUUGUCCCCAAAUCGGGCCAUUUUCUCGAAAAAAAUUUACAUCGUCACCAGCCCUUUUGUCGAUGGAAUUGGCAUAGUUGCUCCAAAAAACCUGCAAAUCAGACAUGCCUUGAGUAGGACACAAUUUAUGUUUAUACCCUCCCUCUUUAGGAGGGAACCACUUCGAAGUGUCACCUACACAAAAAUUAAAUAGAUUAGUGACACCAUGGUUUAUAAGUUCAAAAGGUCUUCUUAAGAUCUUAUGCUAAAAUUGAACAAAUGAACCAAUGCCGGGAUCAAAAGUGAAAGUUGAUUUUACCUUUCCGCAAUGAGUUAAGAAUUUCUUCGUUGGAGAUAUACCAAAAACAAGAAGCAUUCGGGAAUUAUAAUUUUGGACAACAAAAAUCCAUGACUUAAAAACUUUGAACAAUGAUGUAGAGCCAAAGCUUCGAUUUAGCGUUUGCAACUUGUCAUAGUUUAACAACUUCGUUUUCAAAUUUAAAGUCAUAACAUCAAGCAAGCACAAAUGGUUCACACAUCUAUUCACACAUAGCGAUAAAAUUCGGAAAAGAUGAGAAGAUUCAACAUAUUUAUUCCAAACAAAAUUAGAGUACUCACCUUUAUUUAUCAACAACUUAAGAUAACUUGCUCCGGGCUUAAACACACGGUUUUGGUCAUUCUUUGUUAAAAACAGCAAAGGCUUUUUCAAACAUGCAAAAUUUAUACAACAAGGCAGAUUUGAGACACCAUCUUCAACUUUAAGUGCACUAACCAUUUUACAUGUCAUCCUCGUAUCAAACAAACAAAUCAAAGACAUGCAUGUUUUCAAGCAUUCAUGCAUCUCAAAUCUCAUACGUACAUUCUUCUUUAGACAAAGUAGUUUCUCAUAAAAGAUCAAUGAGUGCACAUUUUUACUCAAAUCAAGCAGAUGGAAAGGCUUAUAUGUUUUCUUAUCUUGCAAAUGCCGAAUAUUUAUUAUUUCAAUAACAAACUCAUCAGCAUCACAAUUUCCAAAAACGAUAUUCUUCUUGCCAUCAUUCCACGCAAAUAUGAUAUCAUCAAUCAAAGAAUGGCAAGUAACCACAUCAAAAUUCAGAUCAUUGUUAAAGGACAAAUCAUCAACAAGGUUUCCAUCAACAAUCGAAUAAGGCAGAGGUGCUUUAAAAUUUUCAACAUUCAUACCUUGCUCCUCUUUUGGCUUAGGCGAACUAAGAUCGUUGAGAAUGUUACCUUUUUCAACCAAGGUGAACCCUCUCUCCUUCGAAAGGUAUUGAAGUCGAAACUUGUCAAUCAAUUCCUUGGAAACCUGGAAAGAAGAAAAUUUACACAGCAAACUUGCAAAUGGGUUAGUUAGAACAUUCCUCACUUUUGCUCGAUUGCUUUCUCCUUUUUCACUCUUCUCUUUUUCAAACCCUCUCUCUUUUUCCAUGACACUCGUUUCUUUUACACUCUCGUUUCUUUCUUCAAUCUCACUCUCUUUUUCAAUUUUCUUUUCUUCAUUUUCUUUUUCACUCACUAUUUUGAUUUCUUUUUCUUUUUCACUACAAUGUGCGGAUGACACAAAAGAAUCAAAUAGAUAAUCAUUUGGCUCAAAGAAAGAGAAAAUAUUUUCAUAAGCUUCUCGUCCAUUUCUUCGAGAACAAUCCUUUGGGAAGGACUUCUUUGAAGCAUAUGAGGAAUAGCUCGUCCUUUCUCGCUCAUCUCGAGUGAUUUUUGACUCGAAGUUUUCUUCUCGUGGUCUCGAAAGCCUUGUUGAAUAGGAGUCUUGAUAUGUGUCUCUUCUCGAAUAAUGUCGUCGUGAUGAACUUAACUCUAUUUCUCGACUCGGUGGAGUUUGCUUCCGUCCGGCUUUUUCCUCCACUCGGUCCAAACGUCUUUUUAAUGGGCUUAGUUUUUCCUCCAAUGUUCGGCCCAUCUCGUUCACCAAGUAUUGAAAUUCAUCGGUAGAGAAUUCUUCUUGAGACAUGAUUCAAGAAAAUGUUCGAAAAUCGAAAGAUAGAAUAAAUAGUAAAUGAACCUCACCAAUUCAAAAUCCUCACCAAUCUCUCACAAAGAAAUAAUGAUUUUCACUCGCACUCGUGUUUACACUCUUCUAGGCUUUUUCUUUGAUGUAAAACAGACGUGCCUUUUACCUCUCGACCUCGUCUCACAAUUUCGUAAUUCAUCUCGAUAGACUUAAUUUGCUGCUUGAGGGUCUGUUUCAAAAUAGGUUACAAAGGAAUUAUGUGGGUGUAGGGUAGGCUAAACAAAAUAAAAUCAAGGCUAAGUGUGUCGUUGGGAUGGGUAAAUAAUGGUAGGAAGGGAAACUUGAUGAUCGGAGCAAAUAAGAGAGAAAAAAAAAUAAAAACUCGCAAGACUUUUCACUUUUUUUUUAACUUGAUUUUUUUGCUCACCUUUUUUUUUUGCUCGAUUUUUUUUUCACUUUUUUUUUGAAUUUUUUUUUCAAUCAAUUUUUUUUGAUUUUUUUGUUACUCCAAUACAAUAGUAAGCUAAAUAGAAGGGAAAAAAAUUAAAUUACAACCUCAAAUUUUUUUUGAUUUUUUUUCAUGUUUCGAACCUACUUGUGGCCUUAUUACGAACGUCGACGCUCCUCGUUUUAGUAGCUCUGAUACCAAAUGAUGUGAUCCGGCCCGAUUAAUUGAGUCGGGUUCACUUAAGAUGCCCGAUCGUCGACGAGAAGCUCAUUCAAAUUUGUAGAUAGAUGGAGUUUGAAUGUUUUAUAAGUGGAAGGUAGGCAAAAUGGGUUCAAAGGAUGGGUUUUGGUUUGAUGAAAGAUAGGUUCGGUUUAACAAAGAAUUAAGUUACAAAGAUGAUAAAUAAAUGGAAAUGGAUAAAGAACUCAAACUUUAAGAAUGAUUUAAUACUAAAAAGUAUUGCCCCGAGUCUUAUAUUGCUUAAGGUGAAUUUUGAUGAAGGAUAGAAGCGGACCUUGACCCGUUACCUAUAUGGAGGUAAGAACCAAAAGUAUAGGAAGAUGGUUGAACGCCACACCGAUUCGGUGAUAAGUUCAAUGGAGUUCGGAUUGACACCACUAGCAAGCUAGAUAAGUCGCUUCGAGACUCGAACGAAAGAAGAGAGGAGGUAACCUCACAAGAACAAAAGUUCUAUUAAGUUUAAUUGAUCAAAUUCUGUAACCUUUUACAAUAAACAAGUAAGCUAUUUAUAAGCCUAAAAUGCCUAUUGAUAUUCGGCAUCUAUGUUGUUCACACUAACUUAAAUUCUGUUCACACAGGUAUUUAACAUGUUCACACAAAUAGCAUUAAAAUCCAGUUCAUGCUUGAAGAUGGUACAUGAAUUGGCCGAACCAUCAUGAUGCUUCACUUGAUGCAUUCAUGCAUCCUUAGCCUUGAAGAAUCUCCAUAAUUCCAUGAAUGUGCAGCUCUUUAAUGAUCCUGCAUCUCCCUUGGCUGAAUGAGGCAUUAAUGUGCCUAAAAUACUUGAAUGGUCAUCUUGAAAAUGCAUGAAUCAUGCAUGAAACGUCCCAUGUAUUUUCCCCCAUAAAUAUGAUCCAUGAAUCUUCAAAUACAUGAACUUUCAGCAACUCCCUCUUGCAUGAACGUCCCAAAUGCAUGUGCUCUUUUAAAUGCCAUCCAUUGAACCUCAAUUGUGCAUGCACACUCCCAUACAUUGCACCAAUCCGUUCAUGAACCUGCAGCAAAUUAAAUCAGCAAGUUAAAUGCAUUUCAAACACAUUAAAUUAGCAGCAUAUGAACUCAAUAAUUUUUACAUUAAAUUUGGCCAUACAUAUUAACAAUUUCAGACAUAUUUAAAACAUCAUAAUUAAUUAAGUAUUUAAUUUAGAUAUAAUUAAAACACUUAAUUAAUUAUUUGUCCAGAUUUUAACAAAUUAAUUAACUGAAAAUAAACAACUAAUUCAACUAAAGACAAAUUAAAUGGUUUAUUUCAGCAAAAAAAAAUGCAAGCUAAAAAUAAGCUCAUUGGGUUAAGAUUGAGCUGAAUUAAGCUCGAAUGAGCUGACUUGAGCUUGAGUGAGCUGGAAACGAGCUAAACGGAGCUCAACGAAAAGGAAUUGAACUAAUUCAACUCGCAUAGGUUUGCAAGCAAUGCUUAGGGAGCUGGUCCAAAAGUGUGCCCGAGGCGUGGCCGUAUCAGUCGGUACACAAGUCAAAUGCAUCAUUUAAAUUGUCAAAGUCCACAAUUUAGUCAUAUUUCUCUAUCAUAGUUUCUUCACUUAAACCGAAUUAACAAGCCCAUAUAGUCCUUGGCCGAAUGCUAUUUAACCCAAGUCAUCAAGAAUUUCAUUAUUUAACACCUUAGAUAUCCAUAGCUAAAUAGGUUAUUUGUACAUACAUAUAUAUACAUAAGUGCAUAGAUACUAUGUUACUAACAAUUAUUUCCUUGCUUAGCAGUCGAACCAAUAUACACAUUACUUCAUAUCUACCCGUCACGUUUUCUCUACUUAAACCGAAUAAACUUGCACAUAAGGUCCUUGGCCGAACCUCACUAAAACAAGUCAACCAAAAUCUUAGUAUUUAUCUUGUGUAUAACCUUAUUUACCUUCCAAAAAUCGCAAAAACAUCAAACUCUUAAUGUUUAUGUACAAGGCCGAAUCUUAACAUGAUCCAACCUCCAACUCAUUCCUUUCAACAACCAAAACCGAAUGCUCAAGCCAUCACCGAGAUUUCGAAAUUUUGCCAUGGUUUGUGUAAGAAAUUUGCUAAUUAACUAGAAACAAGUUUAAAACUUAAGAAUUUAACACAACAUACUAACCUCCCCUUAAGUUCAAGGUGACCGAAACCUCUCUUCUUCCUCCUUUCAAACCGGCCAAGAAGAACCAAAGGAUGAAGCCUUUCUUUUUUCUUUUUUUUUUUCUAGUUUCGGCAAAAUGGGGGAACAACCACACACUUUUUUUUUGUUUUCAUCAUAUUCCCUUUUAUUAUUUUAUUCCCAUGCUCCUUAUUUUAUCAUACUUCCCAUGAAACACUAACUUAACAUGUUUAUGACAUGUUUUUGCCCAUCACACUUGGUCUACCAUACUUGUCAUCGCCGGCCACUACUAAUUAGGGGGGGAAAUUAACAUGCAAGUCCCCCCCUUUUUAUUUCAUGCACUAAUAGAUCCUUAUGCUUUGACCUAUCACAUUUCAAAAUUUUCUCACAUAGUCCUAUUUACUAAAAUUCACCUACAAUUAAACAAAAUUCAAAUAUGAAAUUUUCACACAUGCAUAUAUACAUAUAAUAAGCAUCAAAUAUGACAGCUAAUUAUUUUUAUGACUAGGUUUUGUGGCCCCGAAACCACUUCCCGACUAGGGUCACAUUAGGGCUGUCACAACCCAAAUGUUCAAUUGAUAGUGUGAUUGUGCCUCCGACGUCUUCCGAUCCCCGAGCUAACUUGGCGAAACUAUAAGAGAUGGAAAAGAAAUGGGGUAAGCAUAAAGCUUAGUAAGUUCACAAGCAAAUAAUAUGCAUCUUAAACAAACAUAAUUCAUGCGUUUAACAAAACGAACAUAACCUUGCGUUUUAUCAAAUCUCAUGAACUUAUUUCUCAUAUAUAUAUAUGUAUACAUGUUCUUACCAUAAGCUCAUCAUAUUUCAUGUCAUUCACAUGAGUUCAAUGUACAUACCUGUGACACUUGCACAUAUUAACUUACUUUCUUGUCUUAAUGCAAUCAUUAAGAUCGCUCAUUGAGUUUUUCUUAAACUACCCGUUGAACACUCGGAAUACUAUCAGAUACAUUGGAAACUUGCACCUAAGUACCUCAUAUGUAGCCAAUGCUACUCCAUAUCUCAAACCAUAUGUUGCUCACUUACGAGCUACUCACAGGACUACUAAUACAGGCCGUCAGGUAUCCAAUACACAUGCCGGACUACCUCGCCAUUAAUAGCAUAUACGAGGCCAGUAUCGGGACGCCAAAACAUGUGUCGUACAUAUCACGAACUUAGACCUCAACUCAAUGAGUUCAGAUGUCACAUAUAUAAUGAACUCAGACAGAACCCAAUGAGUUCAGAUUACAUAAUUCCUAGUGACAUGUCACUUGUAUCCUAAACUAUUCUUAAGGUUCAAAAGGGAUUUUUCGAUACCACAUUUAGGUUGAACUUGCUCGUAAUGUCGAUUUCAAUGCUCAUAGCUCCAAAUCACAUAUUCAUGGAGAAAUCAAAGCAUAAUUCAUGAUACAAUUUAGGCAAUAAACACAUGAUACAACAUCACAUUAAAUAUGUGUGUACUUACCAUACAUGCAAUAUUAAAGCAUUUAAAGCAUGGUAUAUGUUGCAUUAUUUGCAAAUGAACUUACCUUGGUACAAAAAUGAUAGAAACAAGCCUAAUCAUCGUAAACCUUGUUCUUCACCCUAUCAAGACUCGAAUCACUUUUUUUAGUAUCUAUAAUGCCAAAUUUAACUUUCUCAAUACACACAUUACUCGUAUCAACUCAUAACAUAUACUUUGGUAAAAAAACCUUUUUACCCCUAACUUUUCACUUAUUUACACUUUAGUCCCUAGGCUUGUAAAAUGAAAUGCAUGUAAUUUCUUGGUUAUCCAAGCCUAGUCGAUCCAUAUUCUACCUCAUAUCAGCCCAUAUUUUCCUUUAUUUCACAUUUCUACUACUCAUUUUUACACCUUUUGCAAACAAGUCCUUUUUAGGUGUUUUCACUAAAAAUCACUUAGCAAAAGAUGUUUAUCACACAUCAAACAUUCAUAUUCUUCCAUUGGACAUCAAAAUACAACCAUGUUACACAUGGGUCAAAUUUCAUGCAUGAACCCUAACGUAAAAUAAUGGUAGAAAUAGAUAGAUCAUGCUUCAAUGACUUCAAAAAUGCAAAGGACAGGGAGCUCUUACAAUCAAGCGUGAAAAAUUGAAAACCCUAGCUAUGGAACCCUUGUAAAAUUCAGCUAUGGCUUGAAGAAGAUGGACAAGAUUUUCACUUCAUUUCCCCUUUUUAUUCUUUCAAAAUUUUCCUAUUCAUGCCCAUUUUUGUACAAAUGUUUAGAACUUGGUCUAAUUGCUAUUUAAGGACCUCUAAUUAAUAAUCCAAUUCAAUUUCAUGCUUAAAGCUUCUAGAACACAAGUUUUGCACCUUAUUCAAUUUAGUCCCUAAAGUCAAAUUAGACAUCUUAGGCAUAGAAUUUAUUCAUGAAAAUUUCACACAAGCAUGCCACCAUAUCAUGGACCAUCAAAUAAUCAUAAAAUAAUCAUUUCUAUUUCAAUUUGUGUUCUCAAAAUCACUGUUCCAACUAGACCCUAAUUCAAAAUGUUAUAACUCUUCCCCCUUUAGAGAUUUUCGUCCUCGAAAAUCUUACCGGUUAAAAGGUUUGGGUAUUGCUUCCUCAUGGCCUCCUCGGGCUUCUAUGUAGCCUCUUCAACCCCAUGUUUUUCCAUAGUACUUUCACCAUGGAAAUCCUUUUGUUUCUCAAUUAUUUGACCUCUCGAGCCAAAAUCUUAAUGGGUUUCUCACCAUAAGUCAUAUCCGGUCGAAUCUCGACAUUUGUCAGUGAAAUCACGUGCGAAGGAUCAGAUUGGUGUCGGCGUAACAUAGAAACAUGGAACACAUCAUGAAUCUUUUCCAACCCUGAUGGUAAGACUAACCGAUAGGCAAUCAACCCUAUUCUCUCGGUGAUCUCAUAUGGCCCUAUAAAACGAGGAUUCAACUUGCCUUUCUUGCCAAAUCUUAAAACCUUUUUUCCAUGGUGACACUUUCAAAAAUACCUUACCACCGACUUGAUACUUAAUUUCUUUCAGUUUCAGAUCCACGUAGGAUUUCUGUUUAUUCGAAGCAGUUUUCAAACAAUCACGAAUCACCUUCACUUUCUCUUUGGUUUCUUUGAAUAGAUCAACUCCGUGAAUUUGACUUUCUUUCAGCUCAGUCUAAUACAGAGGUGUUCGGUACUUACGUCCGUACAGUGCCUCAUAAGGCCCCAUUUUUAAACUCGACUGAUAACCGUUAUUGUAGGCAAACUCUACCAACGGUAAAUACUUUUCCCAACUACCUUGGAAUUCUAAUACACAGCAUCGGAGCAUGUCUUCCAAGAUCUAAAUUACUCGCUUAGACUGACCAUUAGUCUGUGGAUGAAAAGCAGUGUUAAAAUUUAGCUUUGUACCCAAAGCUGCUUGUAACUUUUUCUAAAUCAUGAUGUGAACCUUGGAUCUCUAUCCGAUAUGAUCGACAUAGGUACUCCAUGGAGUUUAAAAAUUUCACUAAUGUACAAUUAUGUUAACUUAUCAAGUGAGUAAUCGGUGUGCAGUAGAAUAAAAUGAGCCGAUUUAGUCAGUCUAUUGACAAUAACCCAUAUGACAUCUUUCUUUCUCAGAGUUAAAAGCAACCCUGUUACAAAAUCCAUAGUAAUCCGGUUCCAUUUCCACUCGGGGACCAUGAUGGGUUGAAGUAAACCUGAAGGUACUUGGUGCUCAGCCUUUACUUGCUGACAAACUAAGCAUUUCGAUACAAACUUUGAGAUACUCUUUUCAUUCCUUUCCACCAAUACAUUUUCUUCAAGUCAUUAUACAUUUUUAUGCUUCCUAGGUGAACUGACAAACAACCGUUUUGUACCUCAUGCAAAAUAUCCCGAAUCAACGCAGUGUCUUUUGAAACACAAAUCCUACCACGAAACCUCAAACAACAAUCAGAGUCACUCAGAAAAUCCAGUUCACUACUAGACUCACAUUGAAUUCUCUUAGCUUGCAACUCUUUAUCAACUUUCUGAGCAUCACAAAUCUGUAGAAGAAAAGUUGGUCUAGCUCUCAACUCGGCUAGAAUCGAACCAUCAUCGGACCAAUUCAGCCGUGUAUUCAUAGCCCUCAAGGCAAACAAAAACUUCCUACUCAAAGCAUCAGUGACUACAUUCGCCUUUCCCGGACGGUAAUCAAUCACAAGCUCAUAAUCUUUUAACAGUUCCAACCAUCUUUGUUACCGCAAGUUUAAAUCCUUUUGAGUCAUCAAGUACUUAAGACUUUUGUGAUCGAUAUAGACAUGACAUUUUUCACCAAAUAAAUAAUAUCACCAAACCUUCACACUAUGGCGGCCAACUCUAGGUCGUGUGUCGGAUAGUUCUUCUCGUGAGGCUUUAACUGUUUCAAAGUGUAAGCUACUAUUUUACCUUCUUGCAUAAGUACACAUCCCAAACCAUUCAAUGAAGCAUCACUAUAAAUCACAAAUUCUUUACCUGACUCGGGUUGUACCAAAAUCGGAGCCUCAGUUAACAAUGCUUUUAAUUUCUCAAAACUCUGCUGGCACUUUUCUGUCCAUUCGAACUUGACAUCUUUCUCGCCAUCAGAAUAGCAAUCAUGGAGAAUCCUUUAACAAAUUGUCUAUAAUAACCGGCCAAGCCUAGAAAACUUCUAACCUUAGUUACAUUCCUCGGCGAUUUCCAUUCAACAAUAGCCGAGAUCUUACUCAGGUCUACUCUAAUACCAUCACCCAAAACAAUGUGGCCCAUGAAUCCAACUUCUCUAAGCCAAAACUCGCUUUUACUAAACUUCGCAUACAACUGUUUGUCUCUCAAAGUUUGCAAAACAGUUAUCAAGUGUUCAGCAUGCUCAGAUUCAUCACGAGAAUAUAUCAAUAUGUCAUCAAUAAAAACAACCACAAAUUUAUCCAAAUACGGUCGGAAAAUAUGAUUCAUCAAGUGCAUUUGGGUUCAUUCGAACGAACUCCGUGUACCAGGCAUCCAUCAUGUUGAGAAAGGCUUCUCUGCCUCAUUCUCCUCUACUAAAAGUUGUGGGUCUACUAUCAGACGACACUGCUCCUUCAGUAGGAGCAGAUGGGUUACUUUCAACAUCAUCUGCCACUACUCUAUCGGGAUCCAUUUACUAUAUGAAAAUACAUUUUUAAAUCAUCAGGAAUCGUCACACUAUCAUAAUAUAUAUAUGGCAUGUAUAGCUAAACUCGUACACAUGCUAUGUUAAUCCGAGAACUGACUAAAUCGUAGCUUUGAUACCACUAAAUGUAACACCUUUUACCCUUAUCUGACGCCGGAACAUGGUUCAAAGCGUUACCGGACUUAAACAUAAACAUUCAUAUAAAACCGAGUCAUCAAAUUUCAUCCUAAUUUAAACCUUUUAAAUUACUUACAAAUUGUCCCUUAUAAAGGUCUACAAGACUCGAAACAUACAUUGGAAGCGGUUUGAGACUAAACCAAGUACUUUCGGAACCUUUUAAACACUUAGAAAAUUUUUCUUGUUUUGGAGAGUCACACGUCCGUGUGGGUAGGCUGUGUGGUUACACACGCCCUUGUGGCUUGGGACAUGCCCAUGUCCUCAGCCCGUGUAACUCUCUGACUAUGACGUUAUCAACAAAAUAAGGUCACAUGGCAAAGUCACACGCCUAUAUGGUUAGACCGUGUGGCGAGUUAAAUUCUAAAAUUUAAGUGCAGACUUCGCACAGCCAGGGCACACACCCAUGUCCUAGGCCGUGUCCUUCACACGGCUGAGACACACGGCCGUGUAUUUGCCCAUGUGUUUACUACUGGGCAUUUUGGUUUGCAUAAUUAGGGUGCAGGGGACACACGGUCGGAUCACACGCCCAUGGGGCAGACCGUGUGUCACAUACAGCCUAGACACAUGCCCGUGCGUCUAACUGUGUGAACAAUUUCUAGGUUAUUUUCCAAGCCAUUUGCCACCCUUAAGCACUCACACAUUUACACUCACUUCAUUGCAUGCAACAUGGCACAUUUGAUUGUUCAAACAUUCACAUUCAUGAUUAAACUAUGACUUAGUAAAGUCAACAUAUCACCCAUUCAAAUUAUCACACUUCCAUAUGGCAUUCUAUACCAAUUUCAUAUUUAUUUAUCAUCUUUACCAAUUUUCCUUCAAGUUACACAUUUUCACCACAUUUAUUGCAUACUUAUUAAUCAUAUCACAAUAAUCAAACGUACAUGCCAACCCUCACAUUCAUCAACCACAAACAACCAUAACCAUAUUAAAGCAUCAACACAUUUGCAUGCAUGCAUCGAUAAAUAGGGUUACAACCAAGAAUAAUCAAUAUGAGCCACCUGUCAUGGCCAUAAACAAAAUAAUCAUGACACCGUCAUGAGCCAACACAUUUGGUUAAUCAAUAUGACACAUAACAAACAGGCUAAGUCCCUAUACGUGCCAUACUCAAAAUAAUAAGGCUAGUUAUACCCCAAAUGUUCAAUUGAUAGUGUGAUCGUACCUCUGACGUCUUCCGAUCCCCAAGCUAACUUGGUGAAACUAUAAGAGAUGGAAAAGAAAUAGGGUAAGCAUAAAGCUUAGUAAGUUCACAAGCAAAUAAUAUGCAUCUUAAACAAACAUAAUUCAUGCGUUUAACAUAACAAACAUAACCUUGCGUUUUAUCAAAUCUCAUGAACUUAUUUCUCAUAUAUAUAUGUAUACAUGUUCUUACCACAAGCUCAUCAUAUUUCAUGUCAUUCACGUGAGUUCAAUAUGCAUACCUGUGCCACUUGCACAUAAUAACUUACUUUCUUGUCUUGAUGCAAUCAUUAAGAUCGCUCAUUGAGUUUCUCUUAAACUACCCAUUGAACACUUAAUAUAUUAUCAGCUACAUUAGAAACUUGCACCUAAGUGCCUCAUAUGUAGCCAAUGCUACUCCAUAUCUCAGACCACAUGUUGCUCACUUACAAGCUACUCAUGGGACUACUUAUAUAGGCCGUCAGGUAUCCGUAACAUCUGCCAGAAUACCUCACCAUUAAUAGCAUAUACGAGGCUAGUAUCGGGACACCAAAAAAUGUGUCAUACAUAUCACGAACUCAGACCACAACUCAAUGAGUUUGGAUGUCACAUAUAUCAUGAACUCAGUCACAACUCAAUGAGUUCAGAUUACAUAAUUCCUAGUGACAUGUCACUUGUAUCCUAAACUAUUCCUAAGGUUCAAACGGGAUUCUUUGAUACCACAUUUUGGUCGAACUUGCUCGUAACGUCGAUUUCAAUGCUCAUAGCACCAAAUCACAUAUUCAUGGAGAAAUCAGAGUAUAAUUCAUGAUACAAUUUAGGCAAUAAACACAUGAUACAACAUCACAUUAAAUAUGUAUGUACUUACCAUACAUGCAAUAUUAAAGCAUUUAAAGCAUGCUAUAUGUUGCAUUAUUUGUGAAUGAAGUUACCUCGGUACAAAAAUGAUAGAAACGAGCCUAAUCCUCGUAAACCUUGUUUUUCCUCCGAUCAAGACCCAAAUCACAUUUUUCUUGAUUUAUAAUGCCAAAUUUAACUUUCUCAAUGCCAAAGCAUUUAAAGCAUGGUAUAUGUUGUAUUAUUUGCAAAUGAACUUACCUUGGUACAAAAAAGAUAGAAACAAGCCUAGUCAUCGUAAACCUUGUUCUUCCCCCUAUCAAGACCCGAAUCACUUUCUUUUAGUAUCUAUAAUGCCAAAUUUAACUUUCUCAAUACACAUAUUACUCGUAUCAACUCAUAACAUAUACUUUGGUAAAAAAACCUUUUUACCCCUAACUUUUCACUUAUUUACACUUUAGUCCCUAGGCUUGUAAAAUGAAAUGCAUGCAAUUUCUUGGUUAUCCAAGCCUAGUCGAUCCAUAUUCUACCUCAUAUCAGCCCAUAUUUUCCUUCAUUUCACAUUUCUACUACUCAUUUUUACACCUUUUAUAAACAAGUCUUUUUUAGGUGUUUUCACUAAAAAUCACUUAGUAAAAUAUGUUUAUCACACAUCAAACAUUCAUAUUCUUCCAUUGAACAUAAAAAUACAACCAUGUUACACAUGGGUUAAAUUUCAUGCAUGAACCCUAGCUCAAAAUAAUGGUAGAAUUGGAUAGAUCAUGCUUCAAGGACUUCAAAAAUGCAAAGAACAUAAAAAACGGGGCUAGGGAGCACUUACAAUCAAGCUUGAAAAGUUGAAAACCCUAGCUAUGGAACCCUUGUAAAAUUUGACUAUGGCUUGAAGAAGAUGGACAAGAUUUUCACUUCAUUUUUCCUUUUUAUUCCUUUAUUUACGAAAUGGCUAAAAUGCUCUUAAGGCCUUUUUUUCAAAUUUUUCCUAUUCAUUCCCAUUUUUGUCCAUAUUUUUAGAACUUGGUCUAAUUUCUAUUAAAAGACCUCUAAUUAAUAAUCCAAUGCAAUUUCAUGCUUAAAGCUUCUAGAACACAAGUUUUUCAACUUAUUCAAUUUAGUCCCAAAGUCAAAUUGGACAUCUUAGGCAUAGAAUUUAUUCAUGAGAAUUUCACACAAGCAUGCAAUCAUAUCAUUGACCAUCAAAUAAUCAUAAAAUAAUAAUUUCUAUUUCAGAUUUGUGGUCUCAAAACCACUGUUCCGACUAGAUCCUAAUUCAGGAUAUUACAAUCUUCUUCACCAUUCUUUAGAAACAAAAAAAGAAAACAUCCAUUUUUGAAGGUUAGCAUUCGACCAAGCUAUUAUCUAAGGUAGUCAUGUGAUUUUCUUGUAAAUUUGUUUUAUAGAUUUAUGAUCAUGAGAGCUUGAUUUAGCUAGCCCAUGUAUCAAUUUGUUCAAAUGUUAAGUUUUUAGCAAAUUACCAUUUGGAGAAAUUGAUGAAUUAGGCUAGAAAUUGAUAGUUAAUAAGCUUAGGUCAUGAUAAUGACUAAAUUAUAAAGUCAAUUAAGCUUGUUAGAUAACUUUGUAACAUUAGGGACUAAAUAGAAUAAAUGAAAAUCCUAUCAUGAAAUUAUGAUAUGAAUAGAAAGUAUAGGGUCCAUAAUGAAAGACUAGGAUAUCAGAUUUUGAUCCUAUGUUAGAAAUAAAAAAAUAUGCAUAUCUAGAGUAUAGGAACUAAAUUGAAAAAAAUGGAAAAUAUGUUUAGCUCUGUAUUUAAAUGUUAUUUGAUUGUAAACUAAUAUUGUUUUUGUUAUUGAAUUAUCGAAAGUAGUUAAAGACAAUGUUGGGCCAUCGCGAGAGAAGGGAAAUGUGAGAACUGUUGACAAGUGACGAGAGAAAUUCGGUUUGUACUUUUAUGUUUUGAGAUCAUUCCAUUUAUAUACAUAUACAUGUUUGUUGCACAUUAAAUAUUAAGGCAAGAUUACAACUUAUUUCAUGAAGUGAUUUGGGUUGACAAUAUUGAAUGAUAUUAAAUAUCAAGAACUUGAACUGAAUUGAAUAUAGAAUAAAAGAGUGUGAUAUUAUUGUUAUAUGAUAUAUGAUAAAAAUAUAAUGAGAAUUAUGUGUUGGAAAAAAUCUGGUUCAAAAAUAUUUUUGCCAAUGUAUUUAUUGAGUUUGGGGUAAAAACUCAAACUUGCUGUAAAAUAUAAAACAUAGUAAGUAACAUAAUUAGAAAAUAGGAUAACAAAAGAAAAAUAUGCAUUCAUCAAUAAGAAUAUUUAUAAUACUUCUUUAAAGUCAAUAUUUAUGUAUAUAAGAAAUAUAAAUAAUAUAAAAUUUUAUUCCUAAUGGAUAUUAGAGUCCUAAAGUAUAUCAAACUUUUUAUUCUAACAGACAUCAACUUCAUAAUAAUAAAAUAUUCAUCACACUUCCCCUAAGGGGGAGUGUCUAUUAAUAGAUAAUGUAACACCCCAAACUUGGCUUAGACUUUACGACCAGUUUUGGGGAGUACCAUGAUUCGCUUUGAAAAUUCAGAUAUCAUUUGGGCAUGAAGAAAUAACACACGCUUUUGAUAACACAAUUCCAAUUUUUCUUAAAUGAAAAUAUCUUCCUCACUUAAUUCAUUGAUUCUGUCGAUUAAAUUAUAUUUAUAAAAUGCUUAUGUUUGCAGCGAAACUCUUAGGGUACAUUUGGUUCAUUGUAAUGGAAUAGGGUUGUAAUUGAAUAGAGCUAUAAUUGAAUAAAGUUGUAAUGGAAUAGGGCUAUAGUCAGUAAUUCAAGUGUUUGGUUGAAUGAAAUGAAAUAGAAUUGUAAUAGUAUUAGGAAAAAGACUUAAAUAAUCAAAGUACCCUUAACAGAAUUUUUUUUAGGUAGAUGAUUAUUGUUAUUAUAAUUAAAUUUUAAUAAAAUUAUAGUUAAAUAUAUUUUAUUUAAAAAAUAAUAAAUAAUUUAACCAUAUUUUAACAUAAUUAUUAUUAAAUAUAAUUUAAUAAAAUAAUAUAUAAUUUAAUAACAUUCUUAAUAUAAUUAUUAUAUGAAUUAAAAAAAUCAUAAUAUAUAAUCUACUUUAUUAUUUUUAAACUGCAAUACAUAUUUAAUGUGCUAAAAUAUUAUUAGUGAAACAAAUAAUUUAAUUAUUCUACAAUUAAAAAAAAUAUUAGAAGUAAUAAAUAACUUGAGAAUUAUAUUUCACAUCCAAACAUAAUAUUCAUAUAUUAACAAAAAGUUACAUGAUUUUAUUAGUUUAUAUGUCAUUAUCCAUAUGUUAUAAAAUUUUACAACAUUAAAAAGUUACAAUAUUGUAAUGACAUUCUAUCAUGUCAUUAUACCAUCCAAAUAUUACAAACACAAAAAGUUACCAAAAUAUCAUCAACACUGUAAAGCCCAAAUUUUGUCCAGGCUCGAUAAAUUAAUAGUCCAAGUCUUUUACAGCCCAAAUUCAAACUCGAAACCCAUUAAACCUAACCAAAACAACCCAACCCAAAACUGAAACAAUAAACCAAAAUUAAAACCAAAACAAAAAAUAAUAAAGUCCAUUACCAAAAAAUCAAACACAAUUACAAACAAAACCCUAAUAGCUCGAUAGGCCCAACACCUAAAAUCUUUUCAAAAAACCCUAGCCGCCGCCCUUAGGUUUUCUAACCUAGUGCCGCCCUUAGUCCCUAGCCUCUGCCACGCCGCCUCCUUCACUCCAUCACAUCAGCCACUGCUGCCAUCGCGACUUACACCGCCACCUGCAAAAGCCAAAAGGAGAAACGACAGAAAAUAAUAAUAAAAAUCAUGUAAAAUGGCUAUAAAAAAGCCAUAAAAAAUUCUUUGUAUGCUCUCUGGACAUUAUUGAAUACAAAAAGAGCAGAUUCAAACACAAAAACAAUGAAAAUAACAAAGCAAGUUGAAAGGAAAAAGUUAGAAGCGGGCUAAGGUUUUCAUCUUCAUUCUUUUUCUUUUUUUUUUUACUAAACCGUUUAUAUAUACAUAUAUAUUUCUUUAUUUCUUCUUUUAAAAUUACAUAUAUCAAAAAGAGUAAAAAAAAUAUAAGAGAAAUCUUACCUAUUUGACUUGCCAAAAAAAGGGCAUUUUUGGGCUCCGGCCGUCGUGCAUGGCGGUCGCCAGCGGUGGAGCCCACGGCGGUGAUCAGCUGGAGUCAGGCCGGAUUUGGAGAGGGGGGAGAGAGUAGAGAGUUUUUUGAAGUUUUUUUUUUUAAAAACAAAGAUGGAAUGAUUUUUUUUACAAAAAAUGUGACUUAAAUAGGAAAUUAAAACGGCAUCGUUUUGGCCUAAGCUCAUAGGCCCUAAAACGACGUCGUUUUACCCUUACCUGGCCCAAUCCAACCCGCUCCAAGCUAGGAUCCGAGUGUUUAUUAACUGAAGGGCUAAUUGCAUUUUUAGUCCUUUCGCUUUUUUAUUGUUUUGUAAUCAAGUUUUUCUUAUUUUUAAUUUUUACCCCAUAAUUUAUUUCGAUUCCAAAUUGGUCCUUCUUGAUGCUGUGCGUUUUGGAGGGGAAGGGAAAAUUGCCCUUUUAACCCUCUUGUUAUUCGCGCAUUCAAAUUGGUCCAUUUUCUUUCAUUUAUAUUUCAGAUUUGCCCUGAACUUCUGUUUUAAGUUUAAUUUAGUCCUUUUUUCGUUAUUUUUGUUAUCUUAUUAUUAAAUUAAUUUAUCUAAUAUUUCAAUUAUUAUUAUUAUUAUUUAUUAUUACCAUUAUUGUUACUAUUACUAUUAUUUUUAUUACUAUUAUUACUACUAUUUUCGUUAUUAUUACUAUUACUAUUAUUUUUAUUACUACUAUUAUUACUAUUUUUGUUAUUAUUAUUAUUACUAUUGUAUUAUUAAUAUUAUUAUUAUAUUUUCUUUCUUUAUGUAUUUACGUAUACAUUAUUAUUAUUAUAUUAAAUAAUUUAAUAUUAUUAUUUUUUAGCACGUUUAUUUUUUAUUUUAUUUUUAUUUUUUAUAUCAUUAUUCUUGUUAUUAUCAUUUUAUCAUUUAUUUUAUUUAUAUCCUUUUAAAUAAUUUCAAACUUUAGAUUAUUUAUUAUUUGUAUUAUUGUUAUUAUUAUUAUUAGUAUUAUUUUUAAAACUACUUUACCUAAUAUUUCUUUCUUUACCCAUUAAUAAUUACUAUUAAUUUUUUUAAUUAAAUUCUAGUUUUUAUUUGUUCAUUUACUUUGCUUUUUAUUUUAUUUUAUAUAAUUCGCUGGUUUUAUUAUUUUAUUAUUAUUUACUCUUUUUUUUUUGUUUUUUGCUCUUAUAUUGUUAUUGAUGUUAUCGCAUUCAUUAUUAUUCUAUUAUGCAAAUUAGUACCGUGAUUACUAUCCUUUACAUUUUAUCAAACAUUUUAUGCCGUUACCUCUACAAAUUCAUGUCGCAUUAAUCCUUGCUCGAUACAUAUUUUUUUUAAAUAAGCAAUUUUUCGUAAUUCGAGAUUCGAAAAGUCGUUUCCUAACUUACGGGAUUUUGAUUUUCUGGAUAAAUCUGAAUAAACGAAUGUUUUUAAAGCAUAAAUUUUAAAUGAUCUCGGGAAUUAUGACAAGAUUGUGUUCUAACUUACGGAAUAUGAUUUCUUUCUAAAACCGAGAUAAUCGAACAUCUUUCAAAAUAAAUAAAAUUUUUGGUGUUUAUUCACAUAUCGGGGAUUUAAGACAUUGUGUCCUAACUUACAGGAGAUAAUCUUUUUUCUCGAUUAACGUGAAAUAAGCCCUAUUUCUCAAAAAAAAUUCAAUUAAGCAAUAAUUUAAUGAUGUAUCGUAUUUUUCUUCAGAGUUAUCAAUUUUCGACACUAAGACACUAAUUAAUCAACCAGGUACCAAUUUUGGGCGGUACGAGGGUGCUAAUCUUCCUCGUGCAUAACCGACUGCCGAACCCGUCUUUCUGAAUUUCGUGGACCAAAAUCGUUGUUUAAAUAAAUCAAACUAUUUAUUAAAAACAACCACUUUUACGAGGUGAUUCGAUCACACCUCAUCAAAAAGGAUUGGUGGCGACUCCCAUUUUUGUUUUCGUUUUCAAAAUCAAAUUGACCUCGUAUUUUAAAAAAAUGGUUUCGACAAACACAACCAUGAUUUUUAAUGGUCAACAAGAAAUCUUCUGACCCAUUCCAAUUGCAUAGAAGAAGGUAAACUAAAGAAAAUGGGCAUUUGCGUUGGAUGAUCUGGAAUUUUGUUUAAUGCGCAAUAGUGCUUAUCCUCAAUUAAACCUUCUACUUCACAUAAUGUUGGAUAUAAUUUUAGAACACUUUCUUGAAUGGUCAUUUCUGACUUUUAUUGAAUUAGCACUUCGGAGGCAAUACUUCUACUGAUCUCAAGGCCAACGGUCAGUAUGUUUUCGGCAAUAAAGUGGUAGCAUCAAUAAAUGAAGUAGAAGAAAUGUAAUGCCCCGUACCCGAGACCAUUUCCGGAGUCGAAAACAAGGUGUUAACGGACUUAAUUCAUUACUUAAACAGCUCAUACAAUUCAUUUUAAAAUUUCCAGACAAGCUGGCUAACUGCAUCACAGUUGCUUUAAAAAUCAUAUCUCGAGUUCCGAAACUCGAAAUCCAAUUCCGUAAAUUUUUCCUGAAACUAGGCUCAUAUAUCCAUCUACUAAUUUUUUUCUAGAAUUUUUGGUCAGGCCAAUUAGUAUAGUUUAUUAGUUAAAGACUCCCCUGUUUCAGGGUUCGACUACUCUGACCUCUGUAUAUUUCGAAUCAGAUAUCUCCUUACACAUAUCUUAAAUGACUAUGCCAUUUGUCUCUAAUAAAACUAGACUCAAUAAUGAAUCUGUACAUAUAAAGUAUGACUUCUAAUUAUCUUUGUAAAAUUUAUGGUGAAUUUCCAAAGUCAGAACAGGAGAUCCAGAAAUCGCUCUGGCCCUAUUUUACAAAAAUUUAAACAUCUCAUAAAAUAUAGCUCAUAUACCGGUUUCGCUUCUUCCAUAUGAAAAUAGACUCAUCAAGCUUCGAUUCCAUAACUUAUUCAUUAUUUAAUUCCAUUUCUACUAUUUUUAGUGAUUUUAUAAAUUCACGUCACUACUGCUGUCUGAAUCUAUUUUAUGGUAAAUUUUACCUAUUUCAUGGUUUCCAUGGAUUAGCUAGUAAUUUGACAUACAUAACACCAAAUAUGAUCAUGAUUAGCCAUUCCAAUGGCUACUCAUUACCAAGCAUUUCCAUACCACUCAAUAACCAUAUUAUAAGACCAUAUAUACAAAAUGAUUAUAAUGCUAUACAUGCUAUACUCAAAAUAUACAAGCCAUUAUGCCAAGAUGGUAUACGGAUAGUGUGAGCGAGCCUCCGACCGUUCCCGAUUUCUGAGUUGGCUUGUCAAAACUACAAGGAAUGAAAAGGAGGGAGUAAGCAUAAAUGCUUAAUAAGUUCACAUGCAAAUAGCAAGUAACAUAACCAUAUAAGCAAACAUAAAACAUCAUUUGCAUAAUCAUCACCAAGACAUUCAUAUCACAUUUUCAUUUAUCAUCUUACCAUAUUGUUGUUAUAUCGAUUUUUCAACCCGAGGGUUAAGUACAUACCUGUUCAAAGUACCCAUUUCAAAAAACUUACCAAUACGUCCCUUUCAUCUUGAGUAUUCCUCCAUUUCAGUAGAACUUUACCCGUUGAACACAUCGGAAUAUAAUUCGGAUACAUGGAAAGUUUGCACAUAAGUGCCACAUAUGUAGCCAAGCUACCAUGUAACCCGCCCAUAAGCGAACUCGGACUCAACUCAACAGACUCAGGCGUUCUCAUCCAUAGGUGAACUCGGACUCAACUCAACGAGUUUGGAUGCCUAGUUACAUUUCACGAACUCGGACUCAACUCAACGAGUUCAGACAUUCGCAUCCAUAAGUGAACUCGGACUCAACUCAACGAGUUCGGAUGCCCAAAUAUCCCAGUGACAUGUCACUUGUAUCCUAAUCCAUUCCUAAGGUUCAACGGGACAUUUUUCCCAAUCAUAUGUCUCAACCAUCUUCUAUGGAAUGUCGAUACCGAUACUCGGUAGUAUUUCACAUUUUCCAAGUAUAUCACAUAAUUUGACAUAUUAUCAAACAAUUGUCACAAGUAUGAUAUUUCAUAAUAAUUAUCAUAUCAUUUAAAUAACAUUAAAACAUUUAAAACAAUAACUAUGUUACCAAUAUUUACAUAUGAACUUACCUCGUAUGCGAAAAUGGCUACUUUUACCAUUUCGUCCACAACUUGGUAUUUUCCCCAUUUUAGCCUGAAUUUCAGUUUUCCUUGCUCUAUCAUUUAAAAUAUAGUCUAAUUAGGACUCACAUUAUUCAAAUUGACCAAAAUCAUAUUUUUGAAAAAUUACAGUUUUGCCCCUAAACUUUCACAUAUUUACACUUUUGCCCCAAAGCUCGUAAAUUAAACUUCAGCCUAUUUUCUUAUGUUUUAUGACAUGCUGAUCAUUUUUCCCUUCUAUGGAAACAUCAAAUUCUCACUCUAACAUGUACUUAUGACUAUUAGGUAUUUUUACCGAUUAAGCCCUUUUGCUCGUUUUCACUUAAAACCGAGUAGCACAAGUUGUCUAACAUAAUUUAAAACCUCAUAUUCUAUCAUAAAACACCAAAAUACACAAAUUUCACCUAUGGGUAUUUUUCCAAAUAUAAACCCUAGGUUAAAUUAUUGCUAGCAUAAGCUAAAUCGAGCUACCGGGACUCCAAAAACGUAAAAAUCAUUAAAAACGAGGCUAGAACGGACUUACAAUCGAGCUUGGAAGCUUGAAAAACCCUAGCCAUGGUUUCUCCUUGCUAUAUUCGGCCAUGGGGUUGAAGAUGAGCAAAAUUGGCUUUUAAUUUUGUAUUUUAAUUCAUUUUACCCCUAAAUGACCAAAAUGCCCUUACUACUAAACUUUCCAAAAAUUCCAUCCAUGUCCAAUUUUUGUCCAUAGACUUAUAAAUUGGUAAAAUUGCUAUUUAAAACCUCCUAAUUAAUAUUUCAAAACAAUUUCAUACUAGAAACUUCUAGAAUGCAAGUUUUGCAAAUUAUUCGAUUUAGUCCCUAAUUUCAAUUUAAGCACUUUAUGCAUAAAAUUUCUUCACGAAAUUUUUACACAAUCAUGCAAUCAUAUCAUAGACCUUAAAAUAAUCAUAAAAUAAUUAUUUCUAUCUCAGAUUUUGUGGUCACGAAACCACUAUUCCGAUUAGGCCCAAAAUUAGGAUAUUACAACUCUCCCCCCUUUAGGGAUUUUCGUCCCCGAAAAUUUUACCAGAAAAGUGGUAUUCACUUUUAAUAUCAUAUUCGGUGCUGAAGAACUUGCACUUAGACUAUACCUCCAAUACAUCUCUUCAAUUUCUCAUAUGAUCUAAAAGCUUACAGUCUUAACUCUCAACUGUUCUUAAAUUUUCAACUCUUCUCAGUUUCCCAUGAUAUCAUGACAUAAAACCCGGAUCUCAACUUGAUUUUAUGGAGACUGGAUUUCCAAGAAAUCCAACAAUCAAAAAGACCUGAAAUUUCAUGAAUUUGAUGAGUAGGAAUUCAUUCAAUACAGAUAUGAUUUAUAGAUCUCGCCAAACAUUUAACAAUAGGAUACAUCACAUUUUCCUCUUUCCACCAUAGAAAUAAUUCUGAUAUGGCCUUAAGAAUAAUCCUUCUCAUUUCCAUCCCAAUAUCAACACUGACAAGGAAAAUUUUAAUAGAUCCCAAUGCUCAGCUUUAACCCCUUUAACAACUCCGAUUUUAUGUAACAUCGGAUGCUCUAAACUAUCACAUUACCUCACUGUCUUGAAACACGUCACAAUUCAUACAACAAUACAUUACUGAAAGUCAGGAAGUCUUUGCUCAAUGUAGACUAGACUAGUUCAGACGCUUCGGUUACCAAUAUUCUCAUAUAUCCGAACUCUGUCAACAUGUAAUAAACUUUUCAGCUUUCACAAGAUGGAAACCUUAUCAUUCGUAGUGACUUAAACUAAUAUCCAACUCUUUCUAAUAAAUAUACACUUCUCGUUCAAACUAUUUACUCUUUUAUCCGUACAAAAUGAAAUUCUAUUAUCAGACUUGGGAAAAAUAAUCCUGACAUAAUUGUCACAUGAAAUCUUUCAAAUAAAUAAUUUACCAUACCGACUGAAACUCGCGCUUUUAUCACCUAUGCCUUUACUGAUGUCAAAUCCUUACAUAGAAAUUAGAAAAAAUCCCAAUACUAAAAUCACCACAUUACCAAGAUCAAAUUAGAAGUAUAGUCAUUUUUGACAUGAUUAUCAUGAGCUGAAGAAUCCACUUCGAACAUGAGUCGUAAUUGACAAAUUAUGGAACAAAGAUAACAAGAAAACCGAAUAAAGAAAUCCAAGAUAGAGAAACCCGGAAUAAAGAAAUCCAGAAUAAAGAGUUCCAGGAUAAAGAAACCCAAGAUACGAUACUAUGCCGGAGAAUCGAAAACCAAACUCAUAGAGAAAAUACGGAAUACCCCGAUAAUUCUUCAAAGAAAGAAAGUCCAGAAGAAAACAUCAUUUAAUCCCACUGAAAUCAAAUAUAACAAGAUCAAUAUAUCUUCCCAUACAUAUAUAUCAGAUGAAGUAUCAAGUAGAAAAAAAACAGAAUCAUAAUAUCAUACGUAUUCUUUCAUCAAUUCUUAUCAGACGAAAUGGUAUAGAAUACCCGAUGAAAUAGAGCAAUAUAAAUUAUAAACCAGUCAGACUACCAAUGCUUUCAUCCAACACUAGAAUUAGAAGACAUUCCCAUAUAACAAGAAUUUCUUCAGAAGAUCAAUAGCCAUAGAAAUAUUUCUGAGAACGGGUAAACACAUAGAACAUCUCAAAAGAGACUGCUAAAUCUGUCCAGUCAUAACUGUCACACUCAGAUAGUUCACAUUUCAAUUAUCAUUUCCCUAACUAGUUCUGCCAUCACAAAUUUCAUAUUAAACCAUUCACUAAAGAAGGCCAGUUCUGAAUAAAUUUCGAUUUACACUUUUCUCGACCUUGCACCUGAGUAAUUUGGUUUACCAAGGAGAAUUCCUUUUCUAACUGGGACAGUGCAUAACUUCAAUAAUUUUUAUGUCAAUCCGAUACUUUACUGGCUCUGACUUUACUUAUCAGCUCAUUUUCAAUCUCUAAUCAUACUUAUAAUUAUUCUAUCACUGUACUCUUUGGGUUCUCAAUCGGAAACUUAUUCAAUACAAAUCUCAUGAAAUUCCAUUAUAAGUACCACUUCGGUAAGGGGGAGGGGUUGUAGGACCUCUGACUCGACUUUCUUAUACAUACACAUGACACAACUUCCAUCAUCAUAGUAACACCAUCAAAAUCAUGUCAUUCAUUCAUGUUGGCUUACACCAAUUUUCCUAUUGUCCCAUUUAGACAAUAUACUUAUGCAUACAUUCUAUGUUUUCUAGACAGCUUUACUUAUCCAUUCAUUUAAUUAAAUUAAUUCAUGCUCAUGACAUCAUAUAAGACCAAACAAACAUAGAUAUUUGCAUCACAAUCACAACUUUCAUUUCGUGCAUCAUCAUGUACAUAUCAUUACAAUCAUAUAAUUCAGUCCAACAAUUUAACAUAGAUAAGUUCAUUUCAUUAUAAUCCUUUAUCUCAUAAAAAUUAUAUAUCAUUAACAUUUAUCAACAUUCGACGUCCAAAUCAAGACAAGGACAUUUUCACUCGUAUCAUAAUAUUAUGACUUUUAUUCAUACCUCUACUACUUUCUAUUUAUUCCGUUCAUCUUAUCAAGUAAGCCAUAUACAUUACAUCAUAUGAGCAUUAAGCAAGUAUGGAUAUUUAUCACAUAUGUUUCAUAAACUUUUAUUCAUACUUUUCUGAAUCGAGACUUAUCAUAAUCAUAAUUUUACUCAAAUACCUUCACAUAACAUUGAACAUGGUCGGUGCAGCUCGGUUGGAGAGUACCCUUUCUAAAUAAGACGGUACUCAUACGCGUCGGAAGACAUCACACUAUCACAGAUCAGUGGCAUGUAUAGCUAAACUUUUACACAUGCUAGGUUAGUCCGAGAACCGACUAAACCUGCUCUGAUACCACCAAAUGUAAUGCCCCGUACCCGAGACCAUUUCUGGAGUCAAACACGAGGUGUUAAACGGACUUAAUUCAUUACUUAAACAGCUCAUACAAUUCAUUUUAAAAUUUCCAGACAAGCUGGCUAACUACAUCACAGUCGCUUUAAAAAUCAUAUCUCGAGUUCCAAAAUUCAAAAUCUGAUUCCGUAAAUUUUUCCUAAAACUAGACUCAUAUAUCCAUCUACUAAUUUUUUUAUAAAAUUUUUUGUUGGGCCAAUUAGUACAGUUUAUUAGUUAAAGACUCCCCUAUUUCAGGGUUUGACUACUCUGACCUCUAUGUAUUUCGAAUCAGAUAUCUCCUUGUACGGAUAUUCAAUGACUAUGUCAUUUGUCUCUAAUAAAACUAGACCCAAUAAUGAAUCUUUACAUAUAAAGUAUGACUUCUAAUUAUCUUUGUAAAAUUUAUGGUGAAUUUCCAAAGUCAGAACAGGGGAUCCAGAAAUCGCUCUGGCCCUGUUUCACAAAAAUUUAAACAUCUCAUAAAAUAUAGCUCAUAUACCUGUUUCGCUUCUUCCAUAUGAAAAUAGACUCAUCAAGCUUCAAUUCCAUAACUUAUUCAUUAUUUAAUUCCAUUUCUACUAUUUUUAUUGAUUUUAUAAAUUCACGUCACUACUGCUGUCUGAAUCUAUUUUAUGGUAAAUUUUACCUAUUUCAUGGUUUCCAUGGAUUAGCUAGUAAUUUGACAUACAUAACACCAAAUAUGAUCAUGAUUAGCCAUUCCAAUGGCUACUCAUUACCAAUCAUUUCCAUACCACUCAAUAACCAUAUUAUAAGACCAUAUAUACAAAAUGAUUAUAAUGCUAUACAUGCCAUACUCAAAAUAUACAAGCCAUUAUGCCAAGAUGGUAUACGGAUAGUGUGAGUGAGCCUCCGACCGUUCUCGAUUUCCGAGCUGGCUUGUCAAAACUACAAGGAAUGAAAAGGAGGGAGUAAGCAUAAAUGCUUAAUAAGUUCACAUGCAAAUAGCAAGUAACAUAACCAUAUAAGCAAACAGAAAACAUCAUUUGCAUAAUCAUCACCAAGACAUUCAUAUCACAUUUUCAUUUAUCAUCUUACCAUAUUGUUGUUAUAUCGAUUUUUCAACCCGAGGGUUAAGUACAUACCUGUUCAAAGUACCCAUUUCACAAAACUUACCAAUACGUCCCUUUCAUCUUGAGUAUUCCUCCAUUUCAGUAGAACUUUACCCGUUGAACACAUCGGAAUAUAAUUCGGAUACAUGGAAAGUUUGCACAUAAGUGCCACAUAUGUAGCCAAGCUACCAUGUAACCCGCCCAUAAGCGAACUCGGACUCAACUCAACGAGCUCAGGCGUUCGCAUCCAUAGGUGAACUCGGACUCAACUCAACGAGUUUGGAUGCCUAGUUACAUUUCACGAACUCGGACUCAACUCAACGAGUUCGGACAUUCACAUCCAUAAGUGAACUCGGACUCAACUCAACAAGUUCGGAUGCCCAAAUAUCCCAGUGACAUGUCACUUGUAUCCUAAUCCAUUCCUGAGGUUCAACGGGACAUUUUUCCCAAUCAUAUGUCUCAACCAUCUUCUAUGGAAUGUCGAUACCGAUACUCGGUAGUAUUUCACAUUUUCCAAGUAUAUCACAUAAUUUGACAUAUUAUCAAACAAUUGUCACAAGUAUGAUAUUUCAUAAUAAUUAUCAUAUCAUUUAAAUAACAUUAAAACAUUUAAAACAAUAAUUAUGUUACCAAUAUUUACAUAUGAACUUACCUCGUAUGCGAAAAUGGCUACUUUUACCAUUUCGUCCACAACUUGUUAUUUUCCCCAUUUUAGCCCAAAUUUCAGUUUUCCUUGCUCUGUCAUUUAAAAUAUAGUCUAAUUAGGACUCACAUUAUUCAAAUUGACCCAAAAUCAUAUUUUUGAAAAAUUACAGUUUUGCCCCUAAACUUUCACAUAUUUACACUUUUGCCCCAAAGCUCGUAAAUUAAACUUCAGCCUAUUUUCUUAUGUUUUAUGACAUGCUGAUCAUUUUUCCCUUCUAUGGAAACAUCAAAUUCUCACUCUAACAUGUACUUAUGACUAUUAGGUAUUUUUACCGAUUAAGCCCUUUUGCUCGUUUUCACUUAAAACCGAGUAGCACAAGUUGUCUAACAUAAUUUAAAACCUCAUAUUCUAUCAUAAAACACCAAAAUACACAAAUUUCACCUAUGGGUAUUUUUCCAAAUAUAAACCCUAGGUUAAAUUAUUGCUAGCAUAAGCUAAAUCGAGCUACCGGGACUCCAAAAACGUAAAAAUCAUUAAAAACGAGGCUAGAACGGACUUACAAUCGAGCUUGGAAGCUUGAAAAACCCUAGCCAUGGUUUCUCCUUUCUAUAUUCGGCCAUGGGGUUGAAGAUGAGCAAAAUUGGCUUUUAAUUUUGUAUUUUAAUUCAUUUUACCCCUAAAUGACCAAAAUGCCCUUACUACUAAACUUUCCAAAAAUUCCAUCCAUGUCCAAUUUUUGUCCAUAGACUUAUAAAUUGGUAAAAUUGCUAUUUAAAACCUCCUAAUUAAUAUUUCAAAACAAUUUCAUACUAGAAACUUCUAGAAUGCAAGUUUUGCAAAUUAUUCGAUUUAGUCCCUAAUUUCAAUUUAAGCACUUUAUGCAUAAAAUUUCUUCACGAAAUUUUUACACAAUCAUGCAAUCAUAUCAUAGACCUUAAAAUAAUCAUAAAAUAAUUAUUUAUAUCUCAGAUUUUGUGGUCACGAAACCACUAUUCCGAUUAGGCCCAAAAUCAGGAUAUUACGAGAAAUAUGAUCACUUGCAUCAGAAAUCUUUUUUUUUCUUCUUUGAAAAUAUGAAAUCACCUUGGUUUCUAGUUGGUUGUGGUUGUAUAGCUGAAAGAUCCAUGUCAUCCAAAGAAACAUCAGCUUCACAUCCAUGGACAUUGUUUCUUUCUUCAUGAGUAUUUGUAGUAGCUACAUCCUCAACAUCUAUUUCUUUAAUAAUAUCAGCGGCUAUUUCAGCAUCUUUCCUAGUGGCUCCAUCUUUUACGUAGAUGGCAGUAAGUUGGUCAUAAUAAGAGAAACUACGAUGUUUGAAUUGACUGGAUUCUUUAUGACUCUAUAAAAAUGAGGAAUUCAUAUUAGAUAUAAGUUCGGUCAAAAUAAGAUAAUAAAGACUUGAAAUAAUUCUUACAUUUAUAUAUGAGUUUCACAACGCAUCUUUAGCAACAACAAGCUGCCUAUGCUCAUCCCAACCAAAACCACUAUUGUUUUUUCCACUAAGCAUAUCAUAAACGAUUGACCAAUCCCUUUUCAAUGUCCUAAUCCUCAAUUCAAGAUUAGGUUUAGCCUUCAACAUCGCAUGGGCUAAAACUUUUCCUAACAUUUUUUCCAACUCAUUUAAAUAAUCGGCUUUGAAUCCCAUAUCUACAUUAAAGGUUCCAACAUUGUACAAGUCGACCAUAUAGGCAACCAACGCAACAUAUUCUUCUAGAACCCAUUUCCUUUUGGUUCCUUAAUAAUUUUGGGAAGAAACACUUGAUUGUGAAAAACCUGACAUAACUAUCUUAAGAAAAAAACACAAUUAAAAUUAAAUUCAAUUUUAUGAAUCAAAAGGUUAACACUUUAUAAAAUUAUAGCACAUGAUGAAUCAAAAGAAAAUAAAUUAUAAUUCAGCAAGUCUAGUACAAUACAAAAAACAAUUCAAACACUACCAAAGUUUUAUAAACUGGAUACAUGAAAUAACAUAAACAAAUUAACGUUUACUAUUUUUACCCUAAACAUAACUAAUUUCUAGAUGCUUGCCAUUCAUCGAACAUUUGAUUGGCUAGUUCCAUUCUCCAAGUAGCCCAUGCAUUCGAUGGAUGAAUAUUUACGAUAUUCGGUUCAUCGUCAUUUAUCACAUUACUAGGUAAUCCUUCUCCCAACUCCACUUCAAUUGGAUCAAGACUCAUAUAGCUUUGAAUAAAAUUAUAGAGCAAACAACAUGCAAUAAUGAUUCUAUUGUGCAUCCUCACAGGAUAGAAUGAUGGACUCUUAAAUAUUCCCCAUAUAAGUUUUAAUAACCUAAAGCAUCUUUCAAUAACAUUACGCGUUGAAGCAUGUUUCAUAUUGAAAAAUUCUUCCAGAGUACUUCGCUAGUAACUCUAACGCCACUCAUUCAAAUGAUAUCUUUGUCCUCUAGAAGGCGCGAGAAAUCCUUUACAAUUAGAUAAUAACAACCUAUAAAUUUAUCAUGGUUAAUUUCCCAGAAAAGUAUGAUCUUAAAAAUGAAUUCAAAUUCCUCUAAUUUUGCACCUUACCCGGAGGAACUUUUAGUCCAUGUCUCCUACUAAUGGCAUCUCAAAGAACACGUCCACUAGCAACAGAACCUUCCCAUCCUGGAAGAACACAAACAAAAUGCAUAUUAGGUGUACAAACACCUAACAUAUUUGUUGCUAUGUUACCUUUUCGCGUUCAAUAUCUAGGUUUAGCAAUUGUUGGAACCUUAAUCUUUUCGCGUUCGAUCUUUAAUUUACCUUUGAAAAAAUUUGUAUUCAUCCUCACAUUGUUAUUAAUUGAUGUUUUAUUUGAAUUAAUAAUUGUGAAUAGAAAAAUAUAUAUUAUUUUUUUGAAUAGUUAAAAUUAGUAAAAGGAAAAAAAAAUAUGAAUUUAAUAAUUUUUAUGAGAAAAGAAAAUAAAUAAUUGAAUAUAUUAUUUUUUUUAUAAAGUACAUAUUGAAUGGUUAAAUAAAAAAAGUUCAAUUUCCUUAACGUAACAUUUCACAUAAACUAAAAAGGGUAUUUAAAUAAGGUCUUAAUUUCUUUUAUUUUGUAUUAACUCAAUUCGAUUAUAGGUAUAUAGUGUGUUAAAUAUUUUAAAAAUUAUGUAUUUUAAAAUAUUUGAUUAUUAUUAUUUAAAUAAAAUCUAAAACUCCAUAUACAUUACAUUCUUACCAUAACAUGAUUUGUUUGUAGCAUUGUACUUUUUUUUUGUUUCGUUUGUUGAGAUCAUUUUUAUAUUUGAAUAAAAGAAGUUCAACUCUCCUAUUAAAAGUAAUGAGUUCACAUGCAUUUUUGGUACUAUUAUUAUUAAUUUUAAAAUUUUAGUUUAAAAAUAUACUAAAUUAAAUACACUAUAUUAACAAUUUUAGAUAAAGUUUUUUUUGGAAUAAAAUAUGUUUGUAGUGUUAAUUAUAAUUUUUAAUCAAACAAUAUAAGUAAUAUAAAACAUUGUUUAAAGACCAAAAUUAAAUAUAACAUAAAUUAAACAUAUCGAAAAUAAAAAUAGUUUGAAAAUAUAUUAAAAGAUUAAAAUAGUUUUAAAUGAAACAUAUUGAAAAUAAAAACAAAUUGAAAAUUAAAUAUAACCAAAAUGUUCUUGUUUAAAGUAAAAAGAUCAAAUCCGAAUUAUAAAUGUAGUUAACACGUAUAUAUUGUCUUUCCCGUAUUACAAGAAAAGAGUAAUGGUAUAUUCAUUCCAUUGGAGAUAUUUGCUUAUGUCCUUUUUCCUUGUUCAUUUUUUUUUUGUUGACUCUUGGCUUUGGCAGCCUAUGAGGGUGUGUUGCCCUUUACCUUGGAAGCUUCCUUUUCCAUUAACAAAUUUCAUCUUUCCAAAGUUGAACAUAAACCAACUUAAAACAUAGACAUUGGGAGGGUAUUGUUACCUUAGCACACCCUUGAGUAAUAGUUUUCCCCUUUUUGUUGCUACCUUCAACCAAUCCUUUAGCUAAAACACACAAACCAUUCCAUUAUUUCAAGAGGAUACACAUUUAACACAUAAUGGUUCUAACAAAAAGAUCCAAAUAAAAAUAAACUUAACUAAAAACCGAAGGCAAAAUGAAUGGAAAACAUGAAACCAAUAAAACUAAAAAAAACACAUAAUAUUACAUAAGGUUGAACAAUUAAAGCAUACUCAUCUAGCAUAUGACUAAACUAAAAUGACUCAAGCAAGUAGUGCAAACACGCAACAACGAUAAAACAUGGAAAAAAAAUAGUUUAGAGAAUGGUUUAAGGUAUAUCACACUAGAAAUGCAAGUUUCGUAAGAUUACAUGGUCAAAAAAUGAACAACAAUAGUAUUAAAAAGUAGCAACCCUUACUGUCUAUUUAUUUUCCUCGGAUUACUCUUAUUCAAUGCCAUGUUCGACAAACCAUCUAAAUGCUAACACAAACUUUUGAAAUCUGACAAAACAUGUCCUUUAAUAGAAGAAAUUUAUUUUACUGCAUCAGUUCUAUCUACAAGUUUAUUUUGUCUUAGAAGUUCAUGUCCGCAUUUAAAUUGUUCUAUGUGAAUGCACUUUAUCAAUUUUACUUGUUUGCACCAACAUUUUUGUAUAAGGAUUAAAUUACUUAGUUAUAUCAUCAUUCAAAUACAUGAAAAUUUUGAUUGAUCUUUUAAAUUUUAUAUUGAUGUUAAAGUGUAUAUAAUUUCUAUUACAUCAAUAAGAAAUUAGAUUGGAUCUAGAAAUUCAAAAUAUUUUUACUUCAAUAUUAAAAUCAAAGGGGUUUAUGAGUAAAAAUCGUUUAACUACAAAAAUAAUUUCAGGGUUUGUUUAAAUAGAAGGUAAAAUAGUUUAAGGAUUUUAAUAAGUACAUUAGCCAAAAUGAAUCUAGAUUUUGAUUUUUCAUAUUUUUCCACAUGCUAAUGAGAAAAAGGCUUUCAUAGAUGGCUAGACUAGAAUGAGAAACACAAUGUUACAAGUUCUAUCAAGAAGUUAAAUACCCAUUUCCCCUCAAUUUUAUGGGCAACCGAACAAGGAAGAAUGAGAAACAUAAUGUUGCAAGUUCAAAACCACAAUAAUUCAAUAAAUCAUGAUAAGAUACAACAUGCACUACUCAUAAUUGAACAUGGCAUCAAGAAAUAGUGAAAAAAAUAAGUUGUUAGAAGAGAAACACGGACAUUAUCAACUUUUGAAGAAAUCAAAUAGAUGAAACCUAGAAAAUGAGAGUAAAAAUGGAUAAAGAACUAAUCAUUCCAAGAAAAUGUCCUUAGCAACCAUGUAAAUGCCAGAUAAAAUCUUUAGCUUUUGAAUAAAUCAAAAUAGAUGAAAACUAGUGGAAAAAUGAGGGUAAUGAAUGAUUGCCUUCAACUCAAUACAAAAAUCUUACGAUGGACUGGUGAUCAAGUUAUAAUGUCUUUGUCCAAUGAACUAUCAACAUUAUAAAGGAUACCCUUAAUUUAAAUUGCAUAAAACAGAUGAAGAUAGGUACAAAAUAUGAUUAUGCUUUCUGUAACAGCCUUUACUCGUAUUAUACAUCGAGACAAGGUACGAGGCAUCACCGGUCUUUAAAAUACACUUUAAGACAAACUGAGCCAUGUCAAUUUCAUCCAAUUUUAAAAACAUUCAAACAUAACCACAAUGUCCCUUUUACGGCCCACAUGGCCUUUAACAUACUUUAAGGGUGGUUCAGGACUAAACUGACUGCUUUUAAAAAAUUUUACAACACUUAGGAAAAAUUUUCCAAGUUGGGAGAGUCACAUGCCCGUAUGAGUAGGUCGUGUGAAUUUCACACGCCCGUGUGGCUAGGACACACCCAUGUCCUCAACCCGUGUAACUCUCUGUUCAUGACGUCAGCAUUAAUUAAAGGUCACAUGGCCAAGUCACACGCCCGUGUGUUACACUGUGUGGCGAAUUUAAUUUUUGCAUUUAAGGUGUAGACUUCACCCGGCCUGGGCACACGCCCAUAUCCUGAGGCCGUGUCUUCCACACGGUUGAGACGCACAACUGUGUCUCUGCCCGUGUGUUUACUACCAUGUAUACUGACUUACAAAACUAAGGUGCAGGGGACAUACGGCUAGACAACACACCCAUGGGACUGAUCGUGUGUCACACACGCCUAGACAUAUGCCCGUGUGUCUACCGUGUGGAAAACUUUAAGGCUAUUUUCCAAGACCUUUUGUCACCCUCACUAACAGAUGCACACUCUCAUAUGCCAAUGGUAAAUAUCAUGGCAUGAAUGGUUUACUUAAACAUCCAUACUUUAACUCAUGCAUGGCAAUUACAUGCCAAAGUAUGCAUAUUUGGGACUCCAUAACUUACUAGGAUCAUUCAAAACAUUUCCUUACUUUAAACCAUGCUAUAACCUAACCAAGUGACAUCAAUCAUCCAUCAAGCAUAGAUUCCAUAUUUUAUCAUUCAUUGUCAACAAUCAACUCAUCACACACCUCAAAGGCAUCAACACAUCUCAUGCAUGUAUCAAUAUCUAGGAUUACAACCCAAUAAUCAAUAUGAGCCAUACUUCAUGGCCAUAUAAAAAAUGAAUUAGUAUACCAAUAUGGGCCAUCACUUUGGCCAACCAAUAUGACACGUAUAACAAAAGAAAAAGUCCCCUAUACAUGCCAUACUUAAAUGUAUUAAACCAAAUAUACCCCAAAAGAUUUGUUGAUAGUGUGACUUGAGCUCCGACGUCCACGAUCCUCGAGCUAGCUUGGCGAUGCUAAGAAAAAGGGAAAAGAGAGAAAGGGUAAGCAUAAAGCUUAGUAAGUUGUAUGUAACUAAUAAACAACAUAGAUCAUACAAUUUCAUGAGUUAACAUGCUACUAAUUACCACCACAUUAUCAAUUUACACACAAUGGACAUAAUAAGAAUUGACAAUAAAUGUCAUUAAACUUCACAACUUAUCUUACUCUUUCUUACUCAUGCUAAAUUUUGCAUCAUGAAUCAAAUUCCAUACUCAUGAGGUGUACGUACAUACCUGUACUACUCAUAGCUUAUUUAUAUUUCUCCAUCUCUUAACCUUGAUCUUG